rnacentral:lncRNA from 1 species
AAAUUCAAGAUCUAGAAUCCUAUAGUGUUAGAGAACACAAAUCUAACACUAAAAACACAAGAAAAACACAAAAUCAAAAACUCAAAUUUUGAUCUAGGGUCAAAAACGGGAAUAGUACUUUUUGGGGAUUUUUUAUUUUUGACACUUCUUUUUGUGUGUGAUUUUCAAUUUCUAGAGGACAUGACCCUAGAUAGGAAGGUCUGGAAGAUGCGAAUUACGGCAGAGGAUUAGGGCCAGUUCGGGUCGCUAGUGUAGGGACCUGCUUUACUCUGUUUUAUAUUCCCUAUGGGUGCCGUAUCUAUGUUAUGUCAUCUGCUUCUGUGCUGUACUAUGUGUUUGUGUGAUAUCUCGUGACUUGAGCCGGGGGUCUUUCGGAAACAGCCUUUCUACUUCAUCAGAGGUAGAGGUAUGGACUGCGUACAUCUUACCCCCUCAGACCCCACUGAGUGGGAAUACACUGGGUUUGUUGUUGUUGUUGUUGUUGUUGAUUUUCAAUUUCUAGACUCUAAUAGUGUUAGGGAACAAGAAUCUAACACUAGAAACACCAAAAGACACAAAAAUCUAGGACCUAAAAUUUUGGCCUAGGGAUAAAAUGGGAUAACAACUUUUUUUUUGCAAUUUUCAGAUUUGACACUUCUUUUUUGUUGAUUUUCUAGAUAGCCAUCCCAAGGUUGAUUUUAUUGGAAUAAAAUCAAACCUUGCUCUGAUACUAAAUGAUAAGAGAAUGACCUAAAGAGAUGAAGACUAAGAGAAACAAGAUAACAAACAAAUGCAAUAAAGUAAGAUAGAUAGCUUGACAUACGAGAUUACAAGAAAUAGGAAUCAAACCGUGUAUCAAACGAUAAGACCCCUAAGACUCGCAAUAACAACACCAAACUCUUACAGUGACCGCUAAAGGAAUCAACUCCGCCUUACAACCACCGUUUCUAAGCAAGGAUCAAUAAUGGUUUUUCCAAGCCCUGUACUACUUGGCUUUUCCAAGCCCUAAACUACACUCUCAAAGAGAGAAGAAGAAGUCUUUCAAAUAUCAAUAAUCAACUCAAGAGCAAAUGACCUAAUAGAAGACUAUUUAUAGGCUAGCUUAUUACAUAGCAAAAUGACCAAAAUAUCCUUAAUGAAAGGAGUGGUUAUGGAGUGUCUUUCCAACAAGUGUAAUCCCCAAAAUAUCCUUAAUGAAGGGUGCAUCUUCAAUGCUCCAAAAACAAGGGGUCAUGCUUCAACACUAGUGGACUCGGGUUGGCAUCAAAGGUAAGCCCCCACGCAAUUUUCCACACAUGGGUUUGCUUUAUGUCAUGCUCAAAACGGGUCCUCCAUGCAUGUUCUUGUGUCCUCGAGGUGACCAAGUCUUGAGUCUUUAUGCAUUGGCCUCCAAUGAUGUCUUCAAAAGCAUAGAUGGCCAUUUGGUUUGUAUCAUCACCUACUAGCCUUAUACCUAAUUCUUGAGCUCCACUCCCUCCAAUCAAGAGUCAUGUCCUUGGUGUAGAUAGCAGAUUCUUGCUCUGACAUAAUCACAGGAAAGCAUCGUCACUUAAUAUCUAGCUUAGUAAAGUUGGGUCAGACAUGUUAUUUGGCGUAAUGAUAUUCUACUUCAUAGAAAAAUGAGACAUGUUUGGUACGAGGUCUUUUCUUUGUAAACCAUUUCAUGCUGCAGUUAAAUACAGUUAAUUGUAAUAGCUCUUUCUAUGGGUCCUUCUCGUUUCUUGGAUAGAAUCUGAUAAUUACCUUUCGUUGGUGCCAGAUCACUGCUAGUGUGGAGGCUGCAAGAGAUGUAAUAAUUGAUGGAAUACAGCGUUUCCCUGGUUGCAGACUUCUUUAUGAGGUAUGUUAACGAAAAGGGUAAAUAUGCACCAUUUAGUAAUCAGUGAGGGUAUAUAUGCACCACUUUUUCAACAAGGGGUAUAUCCGCCCCAAAUCGUAAAGUUGAGGGGUAUAUUUUCACCUUCUCUCGAUAAUGAAUAUAUUCUACUUCUGCAGGAAUUGAUAAGAUUUGCAAUGGCUCAUGAAGGAACUAAGCAAUUGAGCAUAGUAGACUCUGUCAUAGCUAAUGCAAUCUCUCCUGUGUCAGACGUAUCCAAAGAUUUGGAUAUAAAAGAUCGAGAAAGUAUAUCUAUAUUAUUUUUGGAGGUCAGAGCCGCCUUCUAAAUGAUUCAGUUCUACAUUGUUUUCUUUUCUCAUUCUCCAUUUUGGCAGUGGAAGGGAAGCGAUGAGGGGAACUCUUUUUAUCUAAGUGGAAAAACGUUCAAUAUUUCUUAGCUUCAUGUGUGAUUAUCUGUUUGCUGAUGCUGCUGGGUCAAUCAAAUAAUGAAAUGAAAAUCUGAAAGAAAUGACGGAGUAUGACAUACUCAUAAACCAAGUAUCUAUUUCAUAAGAAUUUAACUAGUGAACAUGUCGGGAUAACUAACAAUGGUUUGGAAGUGAGCUGAUCACUGCUGUGCACGUUAUAAACUAGCCGAGGUGGAAGGCGAUUGUAUCACCACCUAACCAAGCCGUACUUGUACUAAAAUGAAUGAGAGAACUUUGAAACUGAGUUUUUAAAAAGAUACACUUUGUAUGCAUACAUUAUAAGUUGAUUUUUCUGUUGGGUAUAAUGAUUUUCUACUUCAGAUCUCAUCUGAAAGUACAAAAUGUAUUUGGAAUGGUCUCAGUUUCAACAAUGAGUUUAUUGCCGAAUUGUAAUGCAAUAAUUUAAUGGUUCUAAACUAACCACGUCCACCUUUAACUAGCGAAAAGUGUGAAUACAACCUGCCUACACGGAACAAUUUUAAAUAAAUAACUAGUUUACUUGACACUUCUGAUUCAGUUUUCUUGGAGAUAUGCCAACCCUUACGAAAACUGCACCAUACAACAACAUCAAUAUACCCAGUGUAAUACCCAAAAGAAAAACUAAAACUGUACCAUACUUGAAGCAAAAUGUUACCUUGUUUUUUUUUCACAAUUCCUCAUUAUCUUGUACCUACUGAAUGUCUGAAUCUGGCCCUAGGUUUCUAUAAAGUGAAGUUACCUUUUUUGAUUAUACUAUUUACCAAGUUUUAGUAUCUGUGUUUUGGAUGUGUAAAAUCCACUUUCACCUGUCUCUGAUAAUCAUCAUUUAUGGUUGCAACAGUUGGUUGAUCUUUGUGGAUCUAUCUCUGAGAUCAGAAAGGCAUGGAGUCGUCACAUUAAACUGUUUCCUCAGUUCAUAAGAACCAAUACCUCAUUGAAACACAUAGGUACUGGGCAGAGUUCACUGAACAGCUUUACUGAACAAAGGAAAAACAUCUCCUAUGUACUAGUUAAUCAGCCAUCAAAAGGACCAAGCUCUGGCCAUAUGAUCCAGCUGACCGAAGGAGAGCAGGCACAUUUACUGCCUCUUAAAGAUGGGAAGCUACCAGAUCAGCUUUCUGCAGAGCUGUCUUUAGCUGUGGUCAAUGGCAAAGAUACGACUGGUAAACAAGGACAGUCAUCUCCCGGAAUGGAAGAUCUAUCCAGUGGAAAUGGCUCUGGGAAAAAUGAGUUGUCUUUUGACCCUGUUGUUCAAUCAAAGGAUGAUUCAUCGACGCCAAUGGAACUAAGUCAUGGUCCAUCACAGCAGAGGAGAGAAGAUUUGCCUGGAUCAAUGGACUUCUCUUAUGAUUCCAUACCCCAACCUGGAGAAGAUGCAUCCAAGUCUCCUGGGCCAGUUUUGGACUUUAAAGAACCCCCGAGGCUCCUUUCUGAUUUAGAAGCCUCACAAAAACACCCAAGUUCAGAAAUUGUCAAUCGAGAUCAGGAUGUUGAGCUUGAACAGCCACCAGUGCCGGUUUCUUUGGAGAAUCUUUCCUUGGUUUCUGGGGAAAGGGAUUCCCAGAACUUCGUCACCAUGCAUUCGGAUGAUCCUGAAAGUGGUGAGGAAAUUCCCGUAUCACGCACUGGCAGACCACAAGAUCCUGUAAAUAAUGGAGAUGGACCAGCUAGUUGUUCAUCUCCAUCAACAUGUCUGUAUUCCAAAUCAGCACAAACACAUUCAGGUCCUGUUACUGUUAAAAGUUCACUGCAAGUAAUUGAUACAGCCCCAGUUCCUGAAAGCAGGAGUUCACAGGUGCUCAAUCAACUUGCAGGAUAUGAUCAGCAACAGAAACCACAACGAGCUGCUUCACAAGAACUGCACUUGCUUGAUUCUCGGGGUGAUUCGCAGAUCCAACAGGUCCUGGAUAAGUCUACUGUGCAGUGUCAAUCAGGUACCUCUCAGGAGAAUAUGCGGAGCAACAAAUGCUGGAGAAUGAAUAAUACGCCACAGAAAAUCUCCAUGUCUGGAAACCAUCUCCAGGCGUCUUCCUCACCUGUUUCUAAUUCUCAACCAAGUACAGCUCAACAUUCUGUGCACAAUAGCCCGCAAAUUGGGCCGAAUCCCCAUCAAGAAGCAUUAAAUCAAACAUCACAAGACAUUUCCCUAUCAGAAAACCCCCCUCAAAGGUCUUCUUCACGUGCUUCUUUUUCUCAACCAAAUACACCUCAACAUUCUGGGCAGAGUAGCCAGCAACUUGGGCCCUUACACCACCAGGAAGCACUGAAUCAAACAUCACAACACCAUUACCAGCAGCAGCAUCUUUUGCACUGGCAGUAUCAGCAGCAUCAGCUGCAAAUGCAACAGCCCUACACUAGUAUACAACAGCAACAGAUGCAUCUACAUCCAAGUCAACAGUUGUAUCAGCACCAGCAGCUUAUUCAGCAGCAACAACAGCAACAGAGUCAGCAGCAUACACCUCUACUGCAACAGCAACAAUAUUUCCAGCAAAUUCAGUCGUUACAAUAUUCACAGCAGCAAUAUCUUCUGCACCAGCUACAAUAUUUACCGCAGGCACAGCAACUAUGGCACCAGCAGUUUCAACAGCAAGCACAACAGAUGAAAGCACAGGAAGGCCAGCAAACACAGGAGCAGCAGCAAGAGCAAUAUCGUCAGUCUCAAGAACUUGCAUACCAGAUGCAACAACAUACUUAUCAACUACUCUUGCACCAGUACCAAGUACAGCAACAAGGAUAUCAGAGCAUGCAACAACAACAACAAUGGCAACAACAGGGACAUCUCCAAUUACAGCAGUACUCUCACCUACAACAGCAGCAAUAUCAUCAUCUGGAGCAGCAAACUGAUGAGGAAUACAAUCAAACCCAUCAGGUUCCUUCUUGCUUAUCUUAUUGAAUUACUAUCUAAUGAUGGUGUUUCCCCUUAAAAAGAUGAAAGAUGAAAAUCAAUAUUGAAUAUUCUAUUGGAUACCGGAGGAUAUUUAGAAUUUAAUUAUAGAAUAUUUAGUCACUUUAUUAGCAUACAAAUUUAUUACCUACCAUAUUAUGGGUAGCUUAAGAUUUCUAUGUAAGGAUAACCUUUGUACAUUGUUUAUCAAUGAAUGACAAUUUCUUCUAUUUUCACUUCCUUGCGACCCAUAGCUCCUUGUUGAAAAAUCCAAAUGACGAACAGUUUGAUGCGUUGGAAACUAGACUCAGAGACCUUUAAUUUGAUAGAUAAUGCACACGUUACUCUUCAUACAUUGGGAGAUAUGUUCGUUUAAAGUCAGACCAUGUGUGAAAUCAUCAGAAUAAUUUGUCGUGAUGCAACCUUCAAAUUGAACUUUUGUUUUAAGGCUCCGCUCAGCAUCUAACUUCUGUGUAACAUUUCAAAUGUCGUUAUAUAUAGGUUCCUUGAUAUAAUUACCCAUUUAUGGCCUUAUUCUCUGGUUUGACACCAUUUCGUCGAUGGUUAACAACUCCUACCUUAGCUUAAAGUUAUGGGGUAUAACAAAUAGGUCCCCCAAACACUUGAGAACCACCAAAAGUUUCCGGGUCAGAUCAAAUGACAUACAUCGAAUGGUUCAAGCUUAGCACGUACUUGCGAGGUGUUACAGUGUUGGAAGGAUGUAGUUAUAGAUGUUCUCAUGUCUUUCAGUUUGAGGCUGACACAGUACUAAGUAAGGGUGUUCAUACUUUCGGCAUUGUGAAAUAGGAUGAUUAGUGUAAAUGAUAUGAAUAGUCUGAUGUGCUAUUUGGACCCCCUAUGUGGGCAAAGGAGCAUCGUCCUUUUGUGCAUCUUUGCGCCUGCCUGGCAUAUACAGUAGAUAAAAUUUUUGUACACGUCACCCAAAAAUAGGAUAUGAACACCAUCUCGAAAUAGAUAAAGGAAGAGAGUGAAGAUGUGAGUGGCUAAAUAAUAUUGAACGAACAGUCUGCUGCAAGCAUUGAUUUCUCUCAAUGUCUUCUGAGUGCUUAGGGAUUGCUGGAUGUUUAGACUUCCAACUAGUUACAUUUUUUGAUGUUCGACUUAAACGGAUAAUAGUCUAUAUCAGUCUUUUGUCGUGUAUAAACUUAUGUGCAUGUGAUAUUGACUCCGUCAUCUGGCAAUAGAGAUUAACAUGUUAUGAUGCACAGGGUCAACAGGUUGUGGAGCAACAUUCUUCAGGAACUCCUGCUCCUGAAUCAGAAUCACCAGAAAUUGCAAGGCAACCACAUUCAGCAGAAAAAGCUAGAUAUUCCGUAUCCCCUUAUAGACGGCCCCCUGCUCAUGGAGUCUCACCUUCACAUAGUACGGGUACAUCGGCAUCAAAAACUUCUUCAUUUUCGAGGAAAAAUUCUUCCCAAGAUAAGUAAAUUUGGAGUAUGCAUGCCCUAGUUAACUCUUGCUGAAGAAUUUUGUGUAGGUAUUUGUAAACCGAGUUCUCUUUAGCCCUCAAACCCAAAGUAGAGUCACAGAAAGGAAAAGAUUCCAAAAUCAAAUCAGUAGAGGUUGUUACUUCUCUGUAUCUCGUGUAUUUUUAGGUUGUUCUGGGACCUCAAAUGUAUCUACUCAAUAGUCUAACGUACCUCUCACUUUCUAAUAUUAUGGUUGUUAAAUGAGAGAGCUGGAUUAUGUUUGGACAAUCUAAAGCAUUUUCAGCUAAUUUAACAUGAUAAUUUGAUCAAAGUUUAGUCAAGUAGGGUUUGGUUUGGUCACCAGUGAAUUGAAUAGGUCAUAAUCCAACUUGUCAAACUUAAGUAGUUGUAGCUUUCUUAGUCAAAAUCAGCAUUAGCUUGUAAUCAGAUGCAGUUUGCUUAAUGAGUUACCGGCAUGAGCAAAUUAUUUUUUUUGUCAAGAUACAUAAUUAUUAGACAGUGAGAAUUCCGAGUUGAUUUAACUUGCUUGGGAUUAAAGCUUAUUGUAACACACAAUGUGUUACUAGUGUUAUUUUAGCAGAGUGGUUUUCUGCCUGAUUUUGCUUUUUGCAGUCAUAUUUUCUUGUAAUUCUGCUUCAAAGAAUUUUCUUUUGAGACGAUAAUAUUGGAAUAGCUUUUCUACCCCAAGGUAGGGAUUACAUUUGUAUACACACUAUCCUUCUCAGACUCCACUUGUGGAAUUACAAUUAGUAUGUUGUUGGCGCUGUUGUUGGUUCUGUGCCAUUUCCUCAUAACUGUAAAUGUAGCUAGCUUUGGAUUUUACCCAUGUGAAGAACGGCACGCGAAGGCUUGAGAAGCAAGCAGUACUGGGAAAAGAAAGCCAUAGAGAUGCUAGAUUCACCAGGGUAAUACAUGUGUUUGUACAUACACGUCUACCAUUAACUGUGAUCAAUCAAUACGUAUUUUUACUACAUUAGAUCACUCAAUCAUAGUUAAUUGACUUUUACUCACGUAAACACUCUCUGCCACUAAUUAUUUGCCACAUUCAUCAGUUAGUCCUUUGUAGGUGCAACAUAAGCACAUAUGAUGUGUAUAAAGGCCUUCGACACUCUUUUAAGGAAAAAGGCUUCUACGUUAAUGAUUGGCUUUAGUUAGAACUUAAAACAUUAUGUGCUAAGCUAUGAAAUAAGCUUUUCUUGCAACAUGAUAUUAAUGAAUUUAGCUAUUUUACUUACUAGAGUAAUGAUGGUGUUCUAAAUUGGUAUAGCAGGUGCUUGAUUAUAAGUUAUGGACUUGAAAACCCUCUAAUGAGAUAUAAAAGUGAGUGAAUUAAAGGAAUGGCGUUUGCGCUUAACAAAUUCUUUUUAGAAAUGGCUUCCGCUUCAAAAAGAAUCCGACAACUUUUGUUGCCUAUUGGAUUAACGUUGUGGGCAUAAGUAAACUUUGCUGAUAAUAUAAGAUAGAAAAUUCAGAAUAUUUCAACAAGUCAGAUAGUGAAUCCAUUCAAUUGACCACAAGUUCUCUUUUGUAUGAAAUGUAUUGCUCAAUCGUUCAUAAUUGUGAAAUUGUGAAUGGAGAAUAUUACAUUGUUUUAAAUUGAUCACGAAUUCUGAUGCAUUAGCAAAAGUUGCUUUUAUUGUCAAUUGUUCACAAUUUUUUUUUUUUUUCUGUAUUUACAGAGUUCGUAUAAUUCACAAAAUAAAAGGAUGAACCUUUUUUAAUUGAAAACAUGUGCAGAUAAAUUAAUGUAAAGAGUGUGAUUCAUUUUGAUCAUGCUUUAAGUUACAAAUAAAGUAACUCGAUCUAUAUAAUUGGACAGUCGAUGCCUAAUAGACAAGAAAUUAUGCUAUCUCCAAUCAUUGGAACUCAUUGAACUAUCCCAAAACUCUCCCUCAAGAGAAAAUUAAGCUAGACGCACAUUACAAUUUACAACUAUAACUUAUACCUAAUGAGCAAACGUUCCUCUCAACAGUCUUGUUCAAAUUAAGAUAGAACUUUUUAAAGGAUUUGUCAAACGGAGAGAAAAGUUAAAAGAGCACUCCUUACGAUAUCCUAGUACUUCAAUUACCUCCAUAGAGGUCUUAGGAAUACCGAUAUUCAUAAUAAAUUCAACCUGAAAAUAGCUUUCUUCUUGGCCUAGUUAGAACUGUUUUCCCUCUUUUCCUGUUAAUAUUUCUUAUGAAAGAACGUUCCCGUGAACACAUCAUCUUCAACUUACAUGCCAAUUCAAAUACCAAAUUAAUACAUCUCUCAUACUUGCUUACACAAACUGUUUAUUCACAUAUCAACACUCAUAUUCUUCUAAUGACAACCGCAGAGAACAAGCACCUUUUUUAUUUCCAUGAAUGUUAGCAAUAACGCACUGUUAUAUACCUUGCGCAAGAAGCCUGAAAGUGCAAUAGCAGCAAUCACACUUCGAAUAAUCUUAAUAAGAAUAUUGGGCUAUAUUUUACCAACUAUACUAAAUACAGUGAGGCAAAUGUCGAACGGUGCAGAAGAUCCUUAAAGGAGAAGAUGACAAAUUAAAGGGUUAGUGAUUCAGUAAGAUUAGUCCCUAGAUGUUAACAAGUUGAAACAAAACUGUAUGAGACAAGAAUUAAUCUGAAGAAAAGAGUCGGUACUGACAGACCAUCCCCAAACAGAGUACCAACCAGAUAACUAGAUCAUAUGAACAGUGAUUACUUCCAGGGAGAAGUCAUGGUGUUUAAGUGAUAAUUAGUUAAGUGCACCUUCUUCGGUAUGUGUCGAGCACACAAAAUAUUGAGCAGAGUAAGUAAUACAACAAUGACUACUACAUCAAAAUCAAGUUCGCUGUUAAUAAGCAAGCAGUCCAAUUAAUGCAUACACAGGUGAUGCUAACAAACUCAUUAAUCCUCUUUACAUAAGGAUGAGAAGGGUAAUAUUAACAUACACUUCUCUUGUUUUUUUAAAAAAAAAUGAGCACAAAGAAGGAAAAAACGGAAAGAAAGAGAAGGCUCUCUUUUACAGUUUCCUCGGAUGAAUACUCGUCAUGCCAAGAAGUUAAAAGAGCGCCAAAGACUAUGACAAACAAAAAAAGGGACAGGACAACAACAUGUGAGUUAUACUGCAGGGACAUACUAUACAAAAAGGGAUAAGAUGUAACAUCUCUAAUUACAUACCAGCCCUAGGAAAAUAUCUUACAGUUUUGAGUUCAUCCUGAUACUUCAAUAACGAAGGAAAAAAGAAAACAAGAGAAAACAACCUGAUUUUGGAAAGGAAAACCUGAUAUAGUCAGCAGUAGUUAGUUUUACACAAAACAAAAGAAAACAAAAGGCAGUUAGUUUUUCUCGUAAUGACCCUGAGAAAACAUUAAACAAAUCAAUACUGCAUACCUAAGGAUUAGUCCACUUGGUGGCCAAAACAAUAGUUAUCUCCAUAUGACCUGCAGAUAACAGAUUCAGAUUGGAAAGGGUAAUGAAAUUUUUACAAGCACAGAUAUCAACGACAAAAUAUAUCAUGUAAGCUGGACCGUGAAAUCAUGAGAACUUCUCAGUAUCUGCACAGAGUUCGACUGGAAAAUAUCCAAUUGGAAGUCUAAUCCCGAACCUCUGUAUCACCAGAGGCAUCAAUCUAGAGCGUUUGCAUCUUCCACAACCACCUUACCUUGUCACCACCUAGAAAACACCCAUUCUUGCAGAAGAACUUGCCUAAACUAUUCAAUACCGGAAAUCGAACCCUAUUGUCAAUAUUAAGUAUCAUGUUCAGUUGAAAUAACACGUGGACUAAACCAAGGGGGAAACUAUAUACAAUCAUUUCAACUCGUCUGUGGAUUUCGCAAAACAUAAGCGGUCCUCAACCCGAAUGAAGAACAGGUUUGGCAGAUUGACGAACUAUAAGGAAUACUCUGAAAACUGCAUUUGGCUCUUGAGGUAAGCCUAAGUAGCAUGGACUUUUAGAUGACUUAUAUAACCGACUCCUCUAAAGGUGUAACUGAUGCCAUCUUCAACCGGAUUAAAUUGGUUCCUUCAAGCAUGACUCAGGAGAAGUUGCCUCAAAUAGAAAGUCAAUUGCUUAAUGUCACUACACCAGUAAUAAUAUAAGAAAUUCCAUUCAUGUACAAAGUCUGAGGUACAACUCACUAAGAGAUUCUUAACGAUUCAGGUUACAGCUAAUCCUCUCAAAUUAUUCAACAGAUCAUGCAUCCUGUGACAACCAUGCUUGAAGGCUUAAUUACACUCUGGAAUUAAGCACUUCAAGAAGCCUUUUAUGAUGCUUCUGUAAAAGCAUGUGUUGCAAAUAAAGAACAUCCUACACCCGAUGGACUACUAUACCGGGAGACAAGACUGACAUUGAAAGAGGCUUUUCUUUGUUGUUAUGAAAUCAUUUUGACAGAUCGCAAGUCAAUAAUGUCAUGAAUUGAAUAGGUGAGAAUACUGAAAGAAUGGGAAGCAGGAAUCCCAAGGAACAUCCUGCAGUUAUAUAGCUAAUAAAUUGUCAGAACUACACUCUUGGCAUACAAUGAUGCACUGCAUCAUCUUUCACAAGGCUAAUUCUUAUUCCACUUCUAAAGAGCUCAAUCAUGGUUAGUAUCACAAGCUGCAUGUACGAAGUCAUGAACUCCGCGUAACUCCUAGUCAAACUGCAAUCCUUUUGCACGAUAUUCCAUCUACCCAAACUACUAUAUACAGAAUGAGCCACAAAAAAGGCAGAAAGUACCAUUCUCUUUGAAGUUUAAUGACCUAAAUUUACGGAGAACUCCAAUUUUAGGAAAGGCUAAUCGCUAAUGAUCCAGUGCUUUAGCUCAAGCAUCUUGAUGAGCAUUCAUUAUUGGAAUAAUCCAAAAGAAUGAUAGUCUGCUUCCAGUACAAUGAGUCGUAAACUCUAUUAGCAAAGUGACACAAUUACAACUUAAAGUUGUUGCAGUAAUACCAACCUAACUGUUCUUCAAAAUUAUCUGAACUAAAUUGAACUGGAUGGGCCAAACAUCACCUCACCAAAAAUCAAAUUUCCAUAGGAUAUUCUAGGUCAUCAUAUCAAGUAUGAAAACAGUUGUAUGAAUUUGUUUUUUCGAACUAGCAAUAAUUGAAGAUCCUUGAAUAGCAUUAUUUUUUUUUUGGGAGAUCUUCAAGCAAAAUAAAUGCAGAAGCAUAGCUUACCAAGAUUCACUAACAUGAAAUCAAAACCAAAGCACUAAGCAACAGCAUGAUGUUCAAAUCACAAAAAACUGUUAACCAAGCAUGGAAAAGGAGAGAGUUCAUAAAAAAUGAUGGUAUACUAAACUUGAACAGAAUGUUUUUUCGCUUUCAAUUUCACUAAACCAAGAAGAUGACUAUGUUGCUCGGAGUUAUGUUUACUUUUAUCGUUCAGCGUUUUCUUUUCUGAUAAGGCAUCAUCUUGAGCUUUCUUUUCGUUUUUCUUUUUGUUUUGUUUGGGAUCCUUUAAAAGCAGAGGGAUUUUUUAGAAGACAGACAAUUAUUACACCAUGCAAGAAGUAGUUACAGAGAAAGAGUUAAAAGUAGAGAUAAAGAAAUUAACCUGUUAGAAAUUGGAAACUUCACGACCCUUGCACAUAUAUCUAGUCUCUACUCUCUACAUUGGUACAAAUUAGAGUUAACUGGCAUUCUAAUGUUGUUCAGCAUGUAUCAGCGACUAAGGCAGGCAAUCAACCGAUAUUCAAAGCAUUCUGAUGAUACAGCUCUAAUUAGCCCUUAGUAGUAUGAAUUGCUAAAAUUGGUAUGAAUUGCUAAAAUUGGUUUCUCUGAGGUAAAUAACUGGUGGAACAAUACCAUUAUUAUUUUCAACUCCAAAGCAAUCAAAUCUAUGGGAGAAAUGUUAGCCAGAACUUCUCAACAUUUUAACAGAUCAACUUCUUAACUUAAUGACUGAACUUCAGAAAACUAUUUUCUUUUCCUGAUGAAUAGUAGAGGCAGCCAAUCUUACACAAGUGGUAUCUUUCAUCUAAAGGCAAAAUGAUUAGGUAGUAACCUCCAGAACUAAGUUUUAAUGCUUGGGCUUUGAGACGAGUUUGAUGGAUAUUUCUAGCACAUAUAACAAGUAACUUUCUGAAAUAAAAGGAGAUCAAAACAACCAGUACAAGUCUACAUGAAGAAACAAGCAAGUGCUUGCAUGUCCAUGCUGUUCAAUUUUUAACUUCUAGUGGUUGGUGGUCUUCAAAGGGUAAUGAUGACCCAAAUAGCUUCUAAAUCUAUUUCUAUUGCCAACCCUGACGUUUUUCACCAAUUAGUAUUCAAUCGGAAGCCUAUGUUUUUGCAAAAUUGAUAAGUACAUGAGAUUGUACAAAAGCUAUACAAUGAACAGGUGGUUUAAUCCAACGAACAGCUUUAUGCUAUGAUGACGAAACAUGAAAUCACAAUUUAUUGCACAAUGGAUCAAUUCAUAUACACAAGCUUGUAAAUAACUAGGCAAAUAUAACUGUACAUUGCACAAGGAGAACCUUUUGCAACUAUAUGCGACAACAAAUUAGAUAAUAAACUGAAGAAGGUUGUCAAAAGGGUGGAAUCAAGAAAGAAAUGCGCAUAAAAACUGACUCAGCCAGAAAAGGACUAGUAUUCUUAUAGCACACCCAAUUAUAUCAAGGCUCAAUGAGGAUAGAACAAUGAGCAUGUAAAUGAAGGAUAAUCCUGUUUAAAUGAGAAGAGAGGAGGGAUCGUUAGAGGAACUACUAGGAAAAAACAAGGGCCUCUUAUUCCUGGUUACCAAAUUUCUUAGCAAUGAUAGGUCGGACAUCAUCAGCCUCAGCCAGUUUCUCUAGGAAUGGAAGUAAAGAAAUUAGUGCAGAGUCUGAAGGGUCAUCAAACCAACUCUUAAUAGGAAUCCCAUUAUUCACUUGCAAUCUGAAAACCUGAAAUCAAGAUGGAAAAUUACUAUUCAGUUACAUAAAACAACAGCCUUACUUCAUGCUCAAAUAAGCACUCUGCAUAUUGCUAUGUUGUUGUUCAAGUCCCACAAGUUUUUCUCCAAUUUCCAACUAAGCACAUCAAACUUGAAAGGAACUCACAAACAUAAAGAAUACAUUUUUUUAACAAACAAUUUUGAAUUCUUCCUACAGAAAACUAGAGUAGGCCUAAUACAUGUAAUGCAUCUAUUUUACAAAUUUAACCAAAAUAAAGAAAAGGGUUCUACCAACCCAGCAACUACUACUACUACUGCACCUCAGUUCCAAAUCAGGGUUGGCUAUAUAGAUCCUCAUUGACCAUGUUUCUCCAUUUAUAAUCUUCUCAGGCCAACAUUAUAUGACAUAAAAAUGGAAAGUAUGGAAAGUACUUGACAUUCUCUAGAUUUCUAGUGGCAUAGGAUUAUCUAACAGGGGUAAAAGACUCCUCGAAAGCAUAGGACUUAAAGCAAACAUAUUAACAUGAAUAAAGCAUACUCCCAAAUAAUAGGAUAAGCGUAUAAUAUUAGGUUUAUCAUCAAAUUCAAGAUGCAAGUAGAUUACCUGUGGAGAAUUAUCUACAAUUACAACUUUUGCCAGAUCAACACCUAAUACUGUUAAAUCCUUGGUAUAACUUCCAUCAGAGAAGAUGCAUGAUUCACGAUAUGCGCGCCUUGAAAUAAUCUUUCCAUCUGGAUCCAGAAUAUCCAACAGUUGCUUUGCAUAUAUGCUCUGACUAGCGGUAAAAAUUACAAUUUCAAACAUCUCUGCGACUCUCUCCAAGAAUAUCUGGAGGUGAGGCCUCUGUUUCACAUAGACAAUGUGUUCUUUCAUGCUGAAGAAAACCCGAAAUGUGAAGUCUGCGUCAUCACAGUGCUCCAGAGUAGAAUGAACAAGUGUCUCUGAAGACAUGAAAUGAAUACACAUGAUAUUAGACCAUCUUGUUGGAACCAUGUGUUAUACACUGUAAAAUAUAAGUGCUGUACAAGAAUGUACCAGGGUACACCCUGCUGUAAAAGAAUCUUUCUACUUUACGGAAACAAUAUUAUUUCUGGUGCCAUCAUUCCUACUUCUAACUAGCCUUCAGGUACUGCAAAGAUUGUUUUUAAGCCAAGCUACACAUUGCAUCAUUUGUAGUGUAACAAUAAAUUGCAGCAAAACUAUAAUGAGAAGUAAAAUUGGAGUACCCAAGUAGAAUCUCACCAUCUAAGUCAAGUACUAGGGUGAUUGAUUUGCAUCUUCGUGAUUGUUUUGGCAAAAUAUUUGGCCUCUCUAAUAUGUCUGGCAAAUUUCUUAUGAAACUAUGUGGGUCAAAGCAUUCUGCUUGGUCAUCGGACUCUAUAUAUGUGAAAGCAUCAGAUUGUUCAGAUGAUCUGAGCUGGUGAAUAGCCAUGUAUAAGCUCGAAUCAUCCGACUGAACGGCAGUUUCUCCAGAUGUUCUGCACUCUUGACUAUAGCUAGCUACUGCUGUGUCUUCAAGAAAAGGCAACAGCAAGCAUUCCUCAUCAACAUUAGUGAAGAUAUUUGGCUCUUCACACUUGUAAUCAGACAAGAAUCUGUCAGUUAAACUGUCAUCAUAGAUGUUUUCACCCUCGACGGCUAAACAAGAAACAAUCAUAUCAGAGAUGUAGAAGUCUGAAACAUUGCAUGUCUGAAGUUCACACGAACUUCUGCUGCUAUCACUAUCUUCAGUCUCCAAUUGGGGUACAUAAAAAUCAUUGCUUGCUGUAAGAAACCAAAACCAAGAUAAGUUUAUGUAAGAAUGAUUUUUUUUGCAAGAACUUGAAGAGAGAGAAAGGGUAAGAGUUGUGCUUCUCAGCUCUUAUCAUCUAAGGCCUGAAGGGCUUCUGGUUGUUCGAUAACAUCCUUUUCAAGAUCAAAUGAAGCAAAAUCUAAGGGUAGGCUGUUGGUUUGCCUAAGAUCUUUUUCAGGGCGAAGAGAAGAAGAAAUAAAAUUUGAUUAUGAAUUCCACAAUCAACAAAAAAAUGCAACAAAAUUGGAGGUGUACCUCCAUCACUUGGAUCAGAAUCACUGUGUGCACCAACAGGCUCCAAAGUAGGUGAAAAGAUGGUCUCUGAACUUGAUUUGGAGGUUACUACUGAAGACUCCUGCAUUGAUUUCAAAACAUGAUGGUACAGUACAAACAGCAAAAAUCAAAUUGUCUAAUCUUAGCAUGCAGGCACAAGUAUGGCAUAGAAACUAAAAUGUAAAACUGUUGGGAGAUGGGAGCAUAUAUCCUAGUGUCUACCAGCCCUAUAAUAUGUGAAUUUUCAUGAAGUAAUAAUGUGCGAGCUAUAUUAUGUGAAUUAUAUAUUUCUUUCUAGCUGACCCUCAUAAAACAAAUCAAGUCAAUUUUUGAGAUGGAAUACAUGUCAUACUUUUCCUGACACUCAUGUCUCAGCCCUUUCACAUAAUGUUAUCUUCACACAGCCACUAAAGUAGAGAUAUGGAGAGAGUAGCUUAAAUGCAGACCUUUCUUUGGUUCCUUGUUUGCUCCUAAGAAUUUCAACAUUCAGUUUCUGUGUCUCCAUAAUGUCUAUGAAAAACAUAUUUAUGACCAUUCACCCGUGAAAUUGAAACUACAUAAAUUUAUUAUAGAGCAAGCUGAAGAUGCACGACAGCAAUAUAUGUAUAUUUGGAAAAAUCAUUACCCAUAAUACACCAAAUAGUUGAAAGAAAUGAAUAAAUAAAUUAAGACUACUAUACACGAAACUUAAAACAUCAGGUACUAAUAGUUAUCACUCCACAAUGUAUUUACCAUUUUAUCAAGGAUUGGAGAACCAGUAAUAGGUGGCUGUUGCUUUUCAAGCAGUUCAUCUGGCAAAUCAUUAGCAUGAUCUCCAUUUCUUCCGACUUGGUUUGGAUAUACUUUAUAGUAGAUAGGAACUGCAAAAAUUAAAGUAACUGAUGAAUGAAAUAGGAUGAGCAGUACAAAGAAAUGUCAACGUCAGAUAGAGCAGAGACUUCCAUUGUUAAACUUGCGCGUGGGUGAAGAGAAAAGCAUCAAACUCACACCAUCAAAAUCACAAAAUUCUUAUUCUUAAGAGCCAUACAAUAGAACCAACUUACCAUCCUGAGUACUAUGAAUCAGAUCUGCAACUUCGUCUGCAUUCUGCACACUCCUGGUUCGAGAGAGAGAACUCUUGGAUAUGACACUUGACUUUGGACAGACAUGGAGACCAUUUUUCGAACUGGAUGUGGCUAUAUUUGUCUUCAUUUUUAGUGAUGGCAUUUGAUUCGUACUUUGGAUAUCUAGCACAAUCUUGAUCUGAAAGCAUCAGUAGGGAUUCAAGCCACAAGAGACUGCUGUCAGAGAAGAUCGAAAAAACUUUAGAAUUCAUGGCCACAUCUGAAGGUUAGCAUAUAGAAAAGUAGAAUGAAUAGCACUCCGUUUUUACUCAACUGUAUGUAGUGAAAUAAUCAACAGAAAUCAUACUCAAAUGAACUCUGCCAAACCAAAAAUCAGAAUCACUUUAAUAUAAAGGAACAGAGAAAACUCCUGCUAUCAUAACCCACACCUAAAACUCAACUAUUGGCUGAAGCAAAAAUCAAGCACAUCUUUAUAGAUAAUUUUCUGCACUGAAUAGUUCUCCCCCAUCCAAGCAUGGAAACAACUUUUUUUUAACCACAAUUUGCUAAUAUUGCACCACCAAAUUUUAACAAAUGUUACAAGAGUGGUGAAAUCACGCCUUCUGAUCAGUUCCUAUGUAAAGAUGGAUAAUAAGACCAAUUUUUUUUUGCUGACUUUUUAAAUUUUCUCCACACAAACCCAAGAAACUGGAUCUGCCAAUAGAAAACACCCAAUUCACACCACCAAACAUACAAAAUCUUCUUCCACAUAGGCAUGCCGGAGGUAAAAUCCUUUUGUCUCAAUCGAUCAAUACUGUGUCAGCUGGAUAAAUUACUUGUUUCACACAACUCUUCUAGUCAUGUUUUUUUACUCUUCACCUCCUACAUCACUAUUUACUCCCCAAACUUCAUCCUUUAUUAUUAUCUUCCAAAAUAGAAGCUUAAUUUCCCUAAACAUUGAAAAAAAUUACCAGAAAAUGAAAACUUUCCCAACAAAAAACAAAGAUAAGAUGCUAUUUCUCCCCACCUUUGAUGUUGACCACAUAAAGACUCUUUUUUUAAUCAGAACCCUCCAAAGACGGAUUACAACUGUGGAAAGAACUACUUUUUUCCAAAUAUUUUUCCUCCUCAGCUCAUGAAAACCCGAACCUUCCCUCAAAUUAACGCAAUUCAAACCUAUCAAGAAUCCUAUAAACCACCGCAUCACCCAUACACUCUAGAUAAAACAUCUCUAAUUAAGAUCCGCAAUAACAAAGGCUCACUCUCCUAAUUUCUUAGAACUAAAAAAUAACAAUCAAAUUUUUUUAUAAAAAAAAAUGAAAGCAGUAUACUGCACAUGUGAUAAAGAAAAUCAUCGUGAAUUUUAUACCACACAUAACUACUCCAUACUCCAUAUUUCCACAAUUAUUUGCAAAAAAAAUAACUAAAAAUCAAAACUGUAUUUCUAAUUAAGAAAAAAUUGAAACUAUACCAGUAAUGAAGUUGUAAAAAAAAUCACAAAAGAAGAGAAAACCAAAACCUCAACAUAAUACAAAGUAAACCCAGAAGAUCGCAAAAGUCAACUCCAAUCAACUUUCAGCAAUUCAAUAACGAAUCACACAUAUCAUAGCACCUAAUCAAACAACUAAAAUUACAAAUGAUUAACAGAUCAAAAACCCUAUAAAUUCAACCAUACCUCAAAAUUCAAAGUCCAAAAACGGCUCAAAUUACCAAAUUUAAACAACAAAAAACUAUAGGUAGAGUUACCAACAAAAACAGCUCACAGAUGAUAAGUAGACAAAGAGAGAGUCGGCGUAGAGAUACAAAUUUCUGUAUCUAUAGGUUUGUCUAUAUAUACAUACAUAUAUUACCUGGUAGAGUCACCAAGCGUCUCUCUCUGUCUUACUUUCUCUCUCUAAACCCGCGCUUUUCUCUCUCUUUGCCUGCUCUUUGUAUUGGAGAAAGGGGUAUUAUUGUCUACGCCUGAUACUUAAUGACCAGUUUUUGUACCAUAAGCUGUAACUAGUUGUACCUUCAAGGAAUGUGAACUAGGAGUACUUUUUUUUACUUCUUUUGGUUAUGUUUUUUCCUUGUUCACAUUGUUUCAAAUUUGGCUAUAGUAUUUUCCCUUUUUUUUUUCAUUCAGUGCUCAUAUAAAGCCUCAUUAGGGGAAAGCAUUUUGUACUAAAGAUUUUUUCAUACCCAGCGCUCAAACUCGAGAUCUCUAGUUAAGGAAAGAGCAGUCUCAGCCGCUGCACCACAUUCUUUGAUGAUAGUAUUUUUCGUUUGUUUAAAAAUGUCUUUUGGCUUUUUGAUAGUUUUUAACUUUUUAUUAUGCAAGGUCGAGUUUGAAGCUUGAUAUGAUAGACUUAAUAACACAGAGUCAUUUAGAAGGAGAAAUAAGGAAUAAUUAAUCUCAAAAAUUAAUUUUAGGAUAAGCUUAUUUCAUGUUUGAUUGGGAUAAAAUAUAUGAAAUUAGUUAUGUCGAGAUGAUAGUCUUAUUUUUAUUGUUACUUGAGGGUGAAUAAUUAAUUCUGUGAUAACUAGUUUUUAUUUGUCCUCGUGUCUUCUUGAUGUUAGAUGAUGUUGUAUUAGUGUUAACUUUGUAAUUUUAACAUCGGUUGUAGUGCAGUAGAUGGACUGUUCCACCAUUAAUCAAAGGUCGAGGGUUCGAUCCUGAAUAUGAAGAAAACUAUGUUGGGAGCGCUGUCACCUUAAUGGGCCCUGCAAUACGCGAUCUGAAUUAGAUUAGUCGGGAUUACAAUGCGGGCACCAAACACCGGAUGGAAACAAAAAAACUUUGGAGUACCUCAUCAGGACACCACAUUAGUAUAUAAUUAUACAAUAUGAGUAACUGAGAAGUGUUUUUUAAAAAAAAUAGUAAUCACUUAGAUAUCUAUCUAAUGUAAAUUUAUUACACAAAAUAAUCGUACUUUAUUUUGAUAACCUCAUUAUAAUCAACUUUCACGAGUUAUUUACUUUUAUUAACCAGAUUAAUAGUUUGAUAAUUGUAGAAUAUCGAUUCUAAUCACGUGUUUAUAUGGUAAGAAAAUGUAUAUUUGAUUUAUAGUUAUUGUAUAGAUAUCUUUCUGGUGUAUAAUUAAUGUAUAACUAUUUUUUCUUAUUAUAUAAUGUUUAGAUCAAUAACUAAUGUAAUUAUCUUUAUAACAUAAUCAUAGUAGAAUUAAUUGUAUAUUAUGCCUCUUUUCUAUGAUUUCAACGCUAUAACAAAAGGAAAAAAAUACAUUUUCAAAAUAACGAUUAUACUUCCUUGCAAAUCAAUAGAAUUUCAUACUAUAGUCAACCCAACACCAACCAUUUCAUUAAAUGACUCACAACUUUAAAUUUUACCGAAAAGUCUUAAUUUUAAAUUUUCAAUUUUCACUAGAACUAGAAUAUAAUCAGAGGCGAAGUCAAUAUUUCUGCUGAGAGAAUUCAAAGUUAGAAGAAAAAUUCACUGAAGGGGGUUCAACAUCUAUAACAUAUACAGAAAAAUCAUUUUAACCAUAUAUUAAUAGUAUAAUUUUUCGUAAAAAGAAAUUCGGAUGAACCCCCUAUUACUAGGUUGGUUCCACCUCCGAGAAUAUAUUAUUUAAGCUUGUUUAUUCUUUUAUAACUUUUUUUUUUAGGCAAAAAAGAAAAUUAUUCAACCAAUUAAGGGUGUGUUUGGUAUGAAGGAAAAUGUUUUCCAUGGAAAAUAUUUUCCUAGAAAAUGUUUUCUUGGAAAAUAAAUUGAUUUCUUGCUUGUUUUCUUAUGUUUAGUUGGUGGAAGAAAAAUAUUUUCUAGUAUUUGGUUGGUGAAUGAAAUUUUAUUUUUUUUCAAAAAAUAUAUUUUAGUGUUUAGCUAAAGCGUAAAAAUACAUUUUAGAAUCUUUUUUAAAAAAUAAAUCCUUUUUUGAGAAAAGGAGCUGGGGGCCAGGGUAAGGGAGUGAUGGGAAGGGGGAAGAAAAAAAUUUAAAAAUAAAUUUAUUUAUUUUGAGGUUGGGGGUAGAAAAAUUUGAAUUUUUUAAUAAAAUAUAGAUAUUGUUUUUGGAAGGGGAUCGGAGCUGGUAGGGAUAGGGGUAGGGUGGGGGUAUGGGAUAGAUAAGAAAAAAAUUUGAAAUACUUUUUAAAACAAUUAAAUUUUGGGGGUGGGGGUAGGCGUGGGGUGGUGUAGGGUGAUAGGGUAUUGGGGGCGAGGUAUAUGAUUUUGAGAAUUGUAUGAACAUUUCAACUUGAAAGUGAGGUUGAAAGAGAGUUUUGAAAAAUGUUUUCCUGACUUUUUGAAGAAAAGUCAUUUUCCUUAUAUUUAAGGAAAAUAAGCAGUCGUUUGGCCAUAGAAAUUUUUUCCUUUUUUUCCGAAAAAUUAUUCUACUUAAGUGAAAAAAAUGAAAACACGCACCGUUUGGCCAUGAAUUUUCCAACUCCGAAAAAUUAUUUGGAAAAGUGAAAACAGGUUUUACUUGUUUUCACUUUUACUUCUUUCACAAAAUUUCAAAAAUAACUUUAAUUUAUAUUCAUGGUCAAACACAACUCCAACUCCAACUUCAUCUUCAACUCCAACUCCAACUCCAACUCGGCAAAAAAGUAAUUUCCAUGGCCAAACGGGGCCUACGUUGGUUUGAAAAACAUUUUUCAAAACAUAUAAGCCAACCAAACAUAAGAAAACCAGAAAAACACACCCUAAGUGUUAAAGAAAUUGACACAGAUCAAAAAUAAUAUUAACUCAAUCAAAUAGUGAAGACUUACAUCUAGCUCUUGAUAAUGCAUAACUAGUUUUGCACAGUAUCGUCUAGGUUUUUUUAUUCGGUGUUCGCUAUCUGCAUUAGAGUUUAAUUAAUCCGGAUUCGCACCGAAUGGGGCUCAUGCGAGGGUAGUGCUCUAUACCUAGGAUUCUAACUCGAGACAUUUGAUCAAGGAAGGAACAAUCUCAUGCAACACAUCUUAUGGUGGUACAAUAAUGUCGAGCUAGUUGACUAUCAUAUCAAGAACUCAAAACUAAAAUAAACCAAGAAAUUAAAAAAGUGACCAAAAUAGGCCACCUAUUUAAAAAGUUACCAAAAUAGGCUAAUCGUAAUAAUUUAUUACGUUUUCCACUUUUUUCUUAACGGUCAACUAACGGAGUUAACUUUUUAUAAAACGUAAAAAAUUAUUACGUUUUACAUAUUUAUUUGUAAAACGUAAUAAUUUUUUCCGUUUUCUAAAAAAAAUAUGUAAAACGUAAAAAUUUCUUAUAUUUUACACGAAAUUCGAUAAAAAAUACAGUAUUUUGUCACAUCCCUAAUAAAUUAUUUUUAAAAAAAAAUUGUAGUAAAAUGUAACAAAUAAUUACGUGGUCCACUUUUUGAAAAUAUGCUACUGAUUUCAGUUGACAUCACUGUGGUCCCCUCCCCCACCCCACUUUCUUUUUUAUAUCCUAUUUCCUUUUAAGUUUCACUAUUACUAGUCCAAAUAAUUUAUUUUUUCCUCUGUAAUAAACUUUUACGUUUUACAUAAAAAAAUUAAAAAUGAUAAAAAAGAGAAAUAUCAAUUACCUCACGAACUUAGCACUUUCCUUAUAUUUAUUUUAUAUCAAAAAAUAACCGUUUCUAUCCUUAAUUAUCCGAUUUAUCUCUAAAAAAAAUGUCACGUCCCAAAUUAAGAAGGACAAAUAAGACCGCAUACACUUACCCUACAAGCACUCUACAAUGUACGCAAGGUUAUGAGAUAAUAAGGAACGGGAUAUUCAAUAUAAGUUAUAUACAUAUGCGAGAGAGUUGUAUUAACAAAAUUGAACAUUACGAUACUACAUGAUGUCCAUGAAGCCUUUAGUCAGCUUGACACGUGAUACUUCAAGUGACUAGUUGGCAUAGGGCCUGUCAUGCCCAACUAGGUACCUGUACAUGUACCCAAAAAGAAUACUAGGCAAAGGCCGCUCCAGGGAGAGAUGGAGCUCACCAAAAUAUCAGUUGAAAACGACAAUAGAGCCUAACGUGGAUGUCUGUUAUCCUGAGAAUCUGAGCCUGCAUUAAUAAAACAAAGUGGGACCGAGAUGUCAGUACAUAAAAAAUUUGUACUGAUAUGAAAGCAGAUAGAAUAACAGCUGAACAAGUACAGAAGCUCAUAUAAGUCAAAUGAUAAAGUGAAGUACGUAUGAGCCAAUUAGUAACACAUAGGAGUAUAUGAUAUGAAUUGAUAACUUUUGUACGAACCUUACUAGUAUCUUAUACAAUGUUUAAAAAAAACAUUCAUUAUAAUUUAGGGCUUAUACUUUGUCUAGGUGAUGCUCCUAUCCUAUAAGUCAUACACAUAAUCACAAGAUGGCCUUCCGAAGGCGAUCUGAGGCAAGUAUAAAGCAUACGUUGCUCUCAUACUCAUUGCUAUGAUAACAUAUGUGUAACUGUAAUCGUAGUCUGUAUCGUAUCCAGGUACGCCACUCCCAGGGGCUCACUAUGAGGGUCUGUCCGCAGGCCAUAUAUGUCAUAUGUUGGCUCGAGUCAGGGGAAACUAAUAAAGAAUGUUUCAGUUGACUUCAAAUACAAAUGACGCCACAAAGGCGGGUACGCCCAAUGAUUGGGCUCACUAUAGUGGCCUGGUCUCGACCUUGUGCACAGAAUCACGUCGAGCGAUAUGUGAAGCCAAACCUAUGUACCCUCCCAUCGUUAAUGUUUAUCAAAUAAUGCCCCAAAGGCCUAUAACACAUGAGUUACGAUAAUGAUUUUUUAACUAACCAUGUAUAAGUGAAGCUAUGCUAUUACUACUUACUUUAACGUGUAAGGGCUUCAAGUAUAGAAACUAAUAAUAAUAUGAAAGUAUGAUAGAACAUUAACACAAAUAGUGAGAGAUAGAAUAGAACAUUAACACAAAUAGUGAGAGAUAGAUACUUAUAGGCUUGAUAGUAGAGUGAAGGAAUGAUAUGUAAACCAAUAUACAAAGGUUCUACUUUCGUAUUUCAUGAGAAUUAUAUUAAAAUUAAUGGGAAGGAGUACAUGGCGUAGGAUGGUGCCUUAAUGGCGAGAGAAGGUUUAGAUUUACAUACCUUAGUGCCUUAUUAACUACGUUAAUAAUUCGAGCCUCAAGUUUUCAACCCGCUGGAGUGUAGUCUUUAUUUUUUCCAACCACUAGUCCCUGUUAGCUGAUACGUAAAUAACUAGCUACAAGGAUAACAGAUACGUCCAUUAGUAACUCGUAGGUGCACUUAAUACCUUAUUCCGAUAAUUUUUACUUAUGACCGAAAUUAAUCAAAUUCCUUAACAAGAACCCGGGAUAAAUUUCAACUCCUUCAGCUCAUACAAAUCAACAUAAAAUACAUCCAACUGAUAGAAAUUCCUAAAACUUUACUUUACCAAAAUUUCAUCUCUUUCACGAAUUUUAGUUGUAAAUCCAUCUCAAAAAGUCGUGCAAGGAUUCAAAUUAACCAUAGUUAACAACUUUUACUGCACCCCAACAUUUUCUAUGAUCAAAUUCAAAUAUGAGGUGAAGAAAUUACCUUUUUGAAAGAAUUCUCCAAUUCAAGUUCUUGAGAAUUCUUGAUAAAACUAGUAGUUUCUAGUAAUCAAAGACUAUGAAACGUCUCCCCUUGAAGGAAUAUUUUUCGUAUGCUUUACAAUCCUUUCAAUUUUUCUUGUCAAGAGCUGCACAAAGAGAAUGGUAGAGAACCAUGGGAAAAGUUCCUAGAACGUGAAAUUUGAAAAGGAAUAUAACUUUCCCUUUAGUAUCACUACACACUAUUAUUAUACUAAAGAAAGAAAAGAAAUGUCCAAGGGCGCAUGUACACUUAUAAUAUGUACUAGUUUAUGGGCACGCAUGUUACGCGUAUAUCCCACAUGAUAAUUAAUUUUUUCUUAAAAAAAAUAACAUAUCGCUGAAAAAAAAUAUGAAAUUUCAAUCAGUUUUUUUUUAUCAAUUACCAAGAUAAGUAGCUAAUUAGGAUUUGAUUUAUGAAAUUAGGAAAAAGACAAAAGUACUCGUGAUCUAUUACUUUAGAGAUCUUGAUGUUUUUACCCUUUUAACUUUGUACCUAAGAAAUUUAUCAAUCUUUAUUCAUUGUGCAACUGCAACAACAUAACAUAUGGGUAUCCAGUUCUAUUAUUAAACAACUCAUAUAAGUAAAGGAACACAUUAAAUGGGAAAAAGAGAAUUCAAUAGGAAUGAAAAUAAAAAUAUUUUAAUCUUUCUUGAAAAUUAACGAAAAAUCUAUGGUAAAAUAUACAUUAAAGAAUUAAGAACUUUCUUAUCAUAUCCUUAUUAUAGCUAGGUCCGUUGUUUCUCAAUUGUGCAAUCUAAAUGACAAAUCAACAAAUUACUUUAUCGACAAAAAGACAAUUCUAACUUAACAUCAUAAGGUACAACAAAGAUAUGACGGAGAGGAGAAGAUAAAGACCAUAUGUUUUUUCGCCAUACAUGACUAAUCACAGAGAAACACUAAGUAAAUAACAAUUUAUAUUAGUACAAAUUUAAAAAUCUUAAAUUAACAUAAUAGGUUGCUAUGAGUAAGAAUUGUAAAGCGAAAUAUGACUACAAUGACGAAGUGACAAUUAUAUUCCUUAAGAGAUGUAUUACUCUAACUGUUUCAAUAUCAAUUGAGAAUUAAACAAAUAACUUUCAAAAUUGAUAUGGUAGUUACGUAGAAUUCAGAAAAUAGAACAAUCGAGGUCGAUAGUGAUAAUAGAGACUUUUAAACUUCUUACAAUAUUAUGAAAUAUGAAAAAAUUACAAUCAAGUGACAUAAACACAAAUAAUUUAUGCAUCAUCAUUAUGAUAUUUAUUACAAUCAAGUGACAUAAACACAAAUAAUUUCAUUGUUGGGCCCAAAUUCGAGCCCUUUCACGCGCCUGUGGCGCGUGUAUACACGCAGAGGGUCAAAAUGAUGUGUUUGCAACGGAUUAAGUAAGAAUCAUGGGAUAAUAGGUCAAAUUCGAAGUUUAGGUGUCUUUUUGAAAAUCUCGUCCAACAUCAAUGGGGUAAUUAUGUAUUUACUCAAUUUAAAAAUCUUAAAUUAACAUAAUAGGCUGCAAUAAGUAAAAAUUGUAAAGAGAAAUAUGACUAUAAUGGCUAAGUGACAAUUAUAUUUCUAAAGAGAUGUAUUACUCCAACAGUUUCAAUACCAAUUGAGGAUUAAACAAAUAACUUUCAAAAUUGAUAUGGCAGUUACGUAGAAUUCAGAAAAUUUCAGAAAAUAGAACAAUCGAGGUCGAUAGUGAUAAUAGAGACUUUUAAACUUCUUACAAUAUUAUGAAAUAUGAAAAAAUUACAAUCAAGUGACAUAAACACAAAUAAUUUAUGCAUCAUUAUUACGAUAUUUAUUACUAAUCUUCCAUUUCACCUUAGAAUUGAAGAAUCAAAAGAUACACCACACUCAAGUUCAGAAGUUCAAUAUGUUAAAUGAUCGAUUUGGUUUUUCAAUUCACACUCACAUUUGAAUAGUUGAUGGUCUUCCACAUGCAACAGAUGAAAUAAUUCAUUAAUAUUUUAAUUAUAUUUUCUUCGUUUCGUUUUAGUUGGCCUUAUUGACUUGACACUCCCCUUAAGAAAAUAUUUAAUAGAGUUUUAUUUUACUAAUGUAACCCUAUUGAUUACGCAUUGAAAAUAUAAAUUUGAAUAAAAACACUUUACAAAAACCAUUUAAUGAUAGAGGUAGUAUUGAAAAAACACAAUAAACUUCUCUUGAUUUUAGAACUUCAACAACUAAAAUAAAAUAAAUAUUUUUAACAAGAGUGCCAACUAGUAUGAAACGGAGGAAGCAGUAUUUUUUACUUCAGACAAAUGUUAUUGGAAUGGUAUCUAAUUGUAAAGACAAAUAUGUUAUGUAAUUUUAUAAAAACAUUUUGGUAUAACUUUUUUACUUUGAUUGAUCUCAUAGAAUCAAACUAUAAGUAAAUAUGAUAAGCAAAUAUAUACUUCUUAAAAUUGAACACCAAAACAGCCACUUCAUAAGUUACUGAAACUCAAUUUUUCCUUGAAUUUCUUUCCAAAAUUCAAAGAGAUUUGGAGAAGAUAAAAAAAUUAUACUAACUCCUAAAAUAAAUGAUUGAAAUUCACAUAUAUUAUAAUAAAAUAAUAUAAUAUCAAAUGACAAUUUAUAUAAGUACAAAUCUAAAAAUCUUAAAUUAACAUAAUAGGCUGCAAUAAGUAAGAAUUGUAAAGCGAAAUAUGACUACAAUGACUAAGUGACAAUUAUAUUUCUAAAGAGAUGUAUUACUCCAACAAUUUUAAUAUCAGUUGAGGAUUAAACAAAUAACUUUCAAAAUUGAUAUGAUAGUUACGUAGAAUUCAGAAAAUAGUACAAUCGAGGUCGAUAGUGAUAAUGGAGACUUUUAAACUUCUUACAAUAUUAUGAAAUAUGAAAAAAUUACAAUCAAGUGACAUAAACAUAAUAAUUUAUGCAUCAUUAUUAUGAUAUUUAUUACUUAUCUUCCGUUUCACCUUAGAAUUGAAGAAUCAAAAAAUACACCACACUCAAGUUCAGAAGUUCAAUAUGUUAAAUGAUCAAUUUGAUUUUUCAAUUCACACUCACAUUUGAAUAGCUGAUGGUCUUCCACAUACAACAGAUGAAAUAAUUCAUUAAUAGUUUAAUUAUAUUUGAGAAAAUGGUCAAAAGACCCUCCAAGCUUUGCCCAAAAUCUCAACUACACACUCAAUCUUCACGGGAGUCCCAUCACCCCCCUGAACUAUUUUUUCAUGUAUUUAUUACCCCUCCAAAUGCUGAUGUGGCAACUUAACCCAAAUCAUAAUGUCUUCGUAUUUACACGUGCUGGGCCCACACCUUCCAGGACAUUUCCCUCCUAAAUCUUCAUAUGGUCCCAUAAACACCCUUUGAGCUACUUUCUCUUCUCUUCUCUUCUCUUCUCUCUCUUCCAUUCUUCCUUCAUGAAAUUCCUCCAUUAUUACAUGCAAAUUUAGUCAUUUUUGUGUAUGAAUCUACUCUUAAUGAUAAAGUUUUGUGGAUUUUUGAAGAUUUUACAUUUGAUUGUUGGUUUAAUUUAGGAGAGGUACAUGUUUUUGCCAUAAACUAAUUUCAUUGUUAGUUAGGGUUUGCCGUAAGCAUAUGUUGACUGCUUAAUAGAUUUCUUUUCAGAAGUUGGGAUUAAAAGCUAAAACUUAGGUUAAAGAAAUAAAAAAAAGUGGAAGAAGAUGAAGGUAGUAGGUGGACAAAGAGAAGAGUAAUAUAAAGAAGAGGAAAUAAUCGUUGCAAGCCAUUCUCGAUUUAUUUCUUCAAAGUAUCAUUUAAUGAUGUGUAUUAUACAGGUGGAAGGCUAAAAUCUUCAGUUUGGAGUUGUUGGGACUAAACCAACGCGCCUAGAGGGGGUGUUCUCACCUUCCUUGCCGCAUCAGCAUUUGGAGAGGUAAUAAAUACAUGAAAAAAUAGUUGAGGGAGGUGAUAGGACUCUCGUGAAGAUUAAGUGUGUAGUUGAAAUUUUGGGUAAAGCCUGGAGGGUCUUUUGACCAUUUUCUCAUUAUAUUUUCUUCGUUUCAUUUUAGUUGGCCUUAUUGACUUGACACUCUCCUUAAGAAAAUAUUUAAUAAAGGUUUAUUUUACUAAUGUAACCCCAUUGAUUACGCAUUAAAAAUAUAAAUUUGAAUAAAAUCACUUUACAUAACCAUUUAAUCAUAGGGGUAGUAUUGAAAAAAACACAAUAAACUUCUCUUGAUUUUAGAACUUGAACAACUAAAAUAAAAUAAAUAUUUUUAGCACGAGUACCAACUAAUAUAAAAUGAAGGAAGCAGUAUUUUUACUUCAGACAAAUAUUAUUGAAAUGUAUCUAAUUGUAACGACAACUAUGUCAUGUAAUUUUAAAAAAAAAUUUGGUAUAACUUUUUUACUUUGAUUGAUCCCAUAGAAUCAAACUAUAAGUAAAUAUGAUAAGCAAACAUAUACUUCUUAAAAUUGAACACCAAAACAACCACUUCAUAAGCUACUGAAACUCAUUUCCUCCUUGAUUUUCUUCCCAAAAUUCAAAGAGAUUUGGAGAAAUUAAAAGAAUUACACUAACCCAUAAAAUAAAUAUUGGAAUUCAAAUAUAUUAUAAUAAAAUCUUAUGAUAAUCGAGAUAUUAGAACAAUAUAAUUAAACCUAACCUCUAACCCGAUCAAACAUUCAUCUACCAGAAAAAAAUUAUAGAUAGCAACAAAACAAAAGCUACAACAAAUAAUAUGAUAAUCGAGAUAUUAUAACAAUAAUAUUAAAUCUUACCUUUACACAAAAAUUUCUUAAACCCGAUUGAACAUUCAUCUACUGCCUACAUUGAACAAAAAAAAUAGCAUAUACCAAUAGAAUAAUAUGAUAACCAAAAUAUCUGAACAGUACGAUUAAAUCUAACCUUUACACUGAAAUUUCAUAAAACUUGAUCGAAUAUUUAUCUGCCACCUAUAUUAAAUAGAAAAAAUAAUAAAUAGUAACAGUCAUCUAUAUCACAAUAUCAAUAUUUAUUUCAAAAUCUGUAAUAACCCAAAAUUAAAUAAAAAAUAAAUACGAUUAAAAAAUCUGAUUAUUUUCACCACUAAAAACCCUAUACAUUAAACCUAACAACUAUAAAUAUAGAUAUAAAAAAUCUAAGGAAACCUUUUUACAAUGACAAUAAAAAUUUUGGAUCGAUUACCAAAACAACACUACACCUAUAAAGUAUCAAUAAUUGGUAGAAAAAAAUUUCAAGGAAAUUAAAGAAUAAUUUUCUUGCAGUAUUUUCGUCGAACAAGAAAUUUUAUUAGUAAUUGAUAGAAAAAAUCCCAAGAAAAUUGUUUAUUUUCGGCGGACACCCGUGUGUUGUCUGGACGUGAGUGUGUAUAGAUAUUGAAGAUGUAUGGUGAAUUCAACAAACUAAACCUAGACAAAUUACCAAAUAAAAAUUAUCUCUUAUCAUACAUUUUAAAACUCCUAAUUGUAAAAAAAUAGAAGUCAAUAUUAUAAUAAAAAAUUGAAUAUCUCUUACCAUAUAUUUUAGAACUCCUAAUUGUGAGAGAAAAGGAGUCAAUAUUAUAAAAAAAAAUUAAAUAAUAAUUAAAAAAAAAAGAUAAAAAAAUUAUUUUGUCUAUUAUGAAGUAUUUUAAUGAAGGGUAAAAACUUUAAAUUACUUUUCUAAGGAUCUUCACACUUUUAAUAUAUUAUAGAUAUAGAUUUUUAUAUAUAUAACAAAAUACUCCCAAAUCGUUAUCUUAACUGCAGUAACAUAGAAAUACCUUGUACCAAUAUAUACUACUCCCACUUGUUUUUUUUUCUUGUACCGUAAUUUUCUUUAUAGAUCAAAGUUGUACUUAAUUUAAGCAGUUAACUAAAUUCAAAUUUUUCUCAAGAUGCUACAAAAAAUUAUACUUUUGAGUUUUUCUCUACUCCAAAAUAGUGAAAUGUUGAAUUUUUGUCGAUCAAAUAUGUUAUUAUCCAAAAGAAUUAUAUUUUGUUUGUGUGAUAAAAGUAUGAAAUUAAUUUUUUCGGUUAGUGUUCCAUUGUAGAAAUUAAUAUGAAAUAUGUAUCUUACUAUAAUUGAUAGAGUAAAAAAUCACAAUUUGAUUUAGGCGUGUGCAAAAAUUGUACUGAUGUUUCUUAUGAAUUUUUAGUUGUAGUCGAAUCUUAGUUGCAACUAAAAUACUACUUACACACACACACAUAUAUAUGGUGUAAAAUAAUUAUUUAAUAUAAUAUUAUUGGGUUAUCGAUUUAUCAAUAGAAAAAUCGAAAUCGAACAAAUAACAUAGUAAUUUUUUUUAUAAAAUCAUUAAAAAAAUAACGAUAAUUCAAUAACAUUUUUAUCGAUAUAAUUUUUGUAUACCCCCAAAUCAAAUUGUGAUUUUUUACUCCAUCAAUUAUAAUAAGAAACGUAUUUCAUAUUAAUUUCUACAAUGGAACACUAACCGAAAAAAUAAUUUCAUAUUUUUAUCACACAAACAAAAUAUAAUUCUUUUAGAUAAUAGCAUAUUUGAUCGAUGAAAAUUUAACAUUAAACUAUUUUGGAGUAGAGGAAAACUCAAAAGUAUAAUUUUUUUAAAGAUAAAUCGGAUAAUUAAGGAUAGAAGCAGUUAUUUUUUUACAUAGAAUAAAUAUAAGGAAAGUGUUAAGUUCGUGAGGUAAUUGAUGUUUCUCUUUUUAAUUAUUUUUAAAUUUUUUAUAUAAAACUUAAAAAUUUAUUACAGAGGAAAAAAAAUAAUAUUUGGACUAGUAAUAAUGAAACUUAAAAGGAAAUAGGAUAUAGAAAAGAAAGUGGGGUGAGGGAGGGGACCACAGUGAUGUCAUCUGAAAUCAGCAGCAUGUUUUCAAAAAGUGGACCACCUAACUAUUUGUUACUAUGUUUUACUACAAUUUUCAGAAAAAAUAUAGUAAUUUAUUAGGGAUGUGAAAACACUAUAUUUUUUUAAUCGAAUUUCGUGUAAAACGUAAGAAAUUCUUACGUUUUACAUAUUUAAAAAAAAUGUAAGAAAUUAUUAUACUUUACAAAUAAAUAUGUAAAAUGUAAUAAUUUUUGACGUUUUAUAAAAAGUUAACUCCGUUAGUUGAUCAUUAACAAAAAAGUGAAAGACGUAAUAAAUUAUUUCGUUUAACCUAUUUUAGUAAUUUUUUAAAUAAGUGACCUAUUUUGGUCACUUUUUAAAUUUCUUGACUUAUUUUGGUUUCGAGUUCUCAUAUCAACUCAGUGUGCAUGCAUUUGUUUUUUUUAAAAGAUUAAAACGUUUGAAUCUGAAUAAUUAAGAUGUUGUAUCCAGAUCUGAAUACCGAAUGAUUAAGAUUGUUUGUUUUUUAACUUCUGAAUAUACGUAAUUUAUUUAUUUAUAAUAAAUAUGCAAUUUAAAUUUAAAAAGUAAUAAAAUAUUAUUUUAGAUGAAAAAAAUAUUACAUAAAGUAUUAACUUAAAUUAAAAAAAAUAUUAUUUGAGUGAUAAUUAAAAUAUUUAAAGAUAAAUAUAUUAUGUUAAAUAUAAUUAUUGAAUUUUUAAAAUUAUUAAAAAAAAUAUAUAUUGAUUAAAAAUUAUUGUGAUAUGAUGUAACUAUAAAAAAUUAAAUUCAAUAUGAAAUAAUCUGCCAAUUAAACUGAUCCAGCAAACUAAAAUAAUUAAUCAGAUAUAAUUUUGACUUAGAUGCAUAAAUAUUAAAGUAUUUGAAUAACUAAUUAAUACAAGAACGAACACGUGUUUAUUUGUUAACCAUGAAAUCUGAGUGAAAAUAUCAUUAGUAAGUUCAAUGUUACGUUAUGAACAGGCACACAUAAAAUUCUAUUAUCCAAAGAAUUACAAAUUUUAUAAUCAAAAUAAAAAAUUGCAAGCAAAAAUUUAGAGUUUAGCAAAUAAUAAAUACACAAAUUGAUAACUAAAAUAUUUAUAAAAAAUUUUGGUGAAUCAUACCUAAAAGAGAAGGAAAGCAAGUGAAAGGGAGAGAGAGAGAGAAACGUGAAGAGAGGGAGAGAUAACGUGAAAAGAGAGAGGAAAUAAUGAAGUGAGAGAGUUAGGAAUUAUGUUUUAAAAAGAAUCUAAAUGCUAUUUAGACUUUUUUUCGUAUCUGAUCCAUUCAGAUGUUUUCAAAUACAUUAAGAGACUUUUUUAAAAAACUAAACAAAUGCAUUUAAUGGGCUGAAGUUUGAACCAUUCAGAUUCAGACCUUCCAUUAAAUGCAAACAAAUAAGGCCUUAAACAUUUAUAGAUUAUGCAAACCAAUUUUUUUUUAAAAAACUAUUAAUCAUUAAUUACAAAUAGAAAAACUAUAUUUAAGAAAUCUAAUACUGCCUUUCAUUUAUGUCGAUGUUGUUCAGCUUUAGCCUUUAUGUAAUUAUCGAUUUUCUUGAUUCUACCUUUUAUUUAUCUAUUGCAUUUCAUUUAUAAUUCUACCUCUUUCUUUUAUUUAUUUAAUUUUAGUGAGGAUAUAUUUAUUUAUGAUUUUAAAAAUUUAACAUGAAAAAAGGACACAUUCUAAAAUGAUGGGCGUGUAGAUCAUGCAUGAUAAAUCGAUAAAAUUUCAUGUUGUAUUCAAUUUAGUUAUUAUAUUUGAUAACUCUCAAACACUAUUAAAUUGUCAUGAUUUUACAUUUCCACUCCUAGAACCCCUUGUCUAAAUUGAUUCAAUUUUUCUUUCAUGUAUCUUUCUUUAUUUAUUCCAUCUUCCUCAUGACAUUUUUUUUCUUUAUUUAUAUAGUUUUACUUAAGAUAUUAGUCUCUUGUGAUUACACACACACAAAAAAAAAAAAAGAAAAAAAGACAGUGAUAUGCAAUUCACGACAAGUUGAUAGAAUAUUAUAUUACAUUCAAUAUAUCUGUUUUGAUAGAUGAUUACCAAUCACAUUAAUUGUCAUAAGUGGGUUUUUAUUAUAAGGGUACAUAAUUAUCUUGAUAUUCAAAUGUAUCUGUUUAUAAAAACAUAUAUAAAAAGGAAAUAAAUGAAUAUCAAUCUUUUUUUUUUUCAAAAAUAAAAAAAAUAAAGGUAAGGAAACUAAGGAGAGAGAAUUACAAAAAGAGAAUAUUUUAUAUUUUUUUAUUUCUCAAUCGUUAUCUGACACUUGUACAUAGGUUCGUCUAAAUUUGAAUUCGCAUAAAAUAAAUUCAUAUUGGUUAUUGAAGCGCUCCUAACAAAAAGGACUCGUGUUCAAGAAAAUAUAAAAUUCGAAACCUCUAAUUCAGAAUGUGUUAGAAUUUUUACACUAAUUUUCUUACCGAGACUGGGUUUUAAUAUUCUAUUGAAGAAAGUCAAAGUAUUACAAUAAUUGAUUUUUACUUUUUCUGGAAAAAAAAUAUAAUUCUGUUUUAGAUUUGGCUAACCUUCGUACCUCUAUAAAUUGAGGAUCCGUCUUUUUAUUUCAUAACUCAAUAUAGUCAUUAUAGAGUCAAGUUUAGGGAGAGAUUUUCUCUCGAUAAUUUCAUGAUUUUUUUAAUAUUAAUUUUCAUAUGUAGGUCAAUUGACUAAAUCACAUCAAAUAAUAUAAUUUAAUAUAUUUUUUCUUUAUCAUCUUAUAAUUAGUAAAUUAUUAACUUCUACAUGACAUCAUAUCUCUAUUUCGAACCCAAUAAAAAAUACUUACUAAUCUAUGACAAUUUUCUAUGUGACUGCUGUAAAUUGGAACAGAAAAUGGUCCCAACUUUCAUGACUGCUGCUGUUUCCUUUGUUGUUUCCAUGGAUGUUGUUGUUUGUAUAGUAUAAAACUAUAUAAUAUUGUUUAACGUUUGUGUUGAUCCUCCAAAUUGUUUUUUCUCGUUUAAAGUAUAUCUGUGUCGGUCCUCCAAUUGUUUAACGGCCCAAAAUUGAAAAAUCAAAAUUAUUAAAGUGAAAUAAAAUCAAAUCGAAAAUUAUAUAAAUCGAAUCGAACAUAAUCGAACAAAUUCGAUUCGAUUUUCGAUUCAUAUAAUUUCAAAAUCAAAAACUGAAAAAAUCAAAAUAAAAAUAUUAAACUCAAAUUAAAAUAUCGAACGUCCAUCCCUAAUUACGACCCUUAGAAAGUCCAGAUAACUAACUCGAACACUCGGAGCAAUUUUUUCGAGAAGAAAAUGGGUGGCUGAGAUUGAGUGUUUAGAAUGGGCUUGUGCUGGUAGAUAUUUGCCACGUGGAAGAUUACAAGCCAACAAUGACAUGGUGACACGUGGAGAUUUCUCAAAAAGGGAGAAGUCAUAGAGGAAGUGGCUGCUGCUUUACGUGCCAUUUUAGUACGUGCAGGACACGCUCCCAAAAUAUGCUCCAAAUUGCAAUGAAAUGAAUGCAUGAUGAACAAUACUUCGUACUUCUUGUUAAAAGAAAAGACAAAUUCAUCGAUAACCCUUGAACUUAACACAAUUUUUCAUUUUAAUAUUUUAAUUAGAUGUUUAUUUUUGACACUUUAUGAGUGUGUCAUUUUGACAUCUUUUACUGAUUCAGUAAAGAGAAUGUAUUACACUUGUUUUUUGAUGCGUUUCAGGGGUAUUUUUAUUUUUAUAAUUUUUGAGGAAUAUUUUUAUAAUUUUUUUAUCUUUUAAAUUUUUUAAAAAUUAUUAAAAAUCUUUAUUGUUAAAUCAGCAACAAUUGGUCCAAUGAAUUAAUGACACGUAUUUUAUUAACCAAAUAAUUACAAAAAAGUUCCUCACAUUGUUUUUUCCACACAACCUUUUUUUAGCUCCUCCAUUAAUGGAGGUGAAAUCAACACUCAAAAUGAAUUUCACUCCAUUAACACACCUACAACAACAAUACACACCAUGAACACCAAAUAAUACUCCUUCCAUUAAUCAACGGAACACGCCCUCUAAUCCCAAUUCUAAACAUAAACACACUAACAACAACCCAAUGACAAUUAACAAAUACUCCUCUACAAGAACAACUCCACAAAUUCAUCACCUCCAUAUUUACACCUUCAAUUCUCACUAUCAGUUUCUUCUCCAUGAACAAGUCAACAACACCUAGCAACAAAAAUAAAAUUCUCCUCUCCCACUCAUGACAUCAUUAAGAUCCCCCGCCCCCCAAAAAAAUGUCAACACUUAAAAAACAGAAUAGGCCAAACACAUCAAGUAUUUAUUUUUAACUUUUCAAGCUUUUUAUAUGUUUUGAGUUUGAAAAAAAAAUUCAAGAAUGAUGGUGAUUAAAAGAAUGUGUUGAAGAAACAAUUUUGUUUAGGGGAGGGGAGGGGGUGUUGGAGAAGACGACAUUUAGGGGAGGGAGAGUAGAGCGGGGCUGUUUGGAUUUUGGGGCGGGGGGGGGGGGGAUCAGCAUGNNNNNNNNNNNNNNNNNNNNNNNNNNNNNNNNNNNNGGGGGAUCGGGGAGAGGGGGGAGACAAUUUAGGGGUGGGGUGGGAAGUGGAGAAGAUGAUGGGGGUGGUGGAAAUAUUAAUUUAAUUUGAUUUAAAUUAAAUUAAUUAUUUAAUUUAUAUUUUUUAAUUUAAAUUAAUUAUUUUAAUAAAAAUGCCAAUUGUCCUAUUAUUAUUGAUCGUUUCACACAUUAGCACGUGUGUACUACACACAUCACAUAUUUUUCAGAUUGUUUAAAAAAGUCUCAAAAUAACAUACUUUAUGGCCACUUGGGCUGUCAAAAAUGAACAACGACCACUUGAGGUGCCAAAGUAAAAGAUCGUACCAAGUUUAGUGGGUUGUCGAUGAGUUUGGCCUAAAAGAAGAUAUUGAUAGAGGUCAUCAAUAUUUUCUGAUUUUAUCAAAAAAAAGAAAAAAGGAUUGGACAUUGAAAAGACAUCAGACCCCUCCGAACUUGUCACCAAAAAUUACGUUAGACCCUAAACUAAUCAGACAAUUAUUCACCUCCUUAAUAACUUUCAAGUGAAUUAAUUUCACCCUCUACGGCUGACGUGACAAAAAAAAAUGAGUAAAUUUUUUUUUUUAAAGGGUCCACUUUGUUAUUAUUAUUAAACAUAUAAAUAUAUAUAAAGAACCAACUUCAUCUUUAUAAAAUUAAAAAAAAAUCAAGAACCAACUUCAUCUUCUUCUUCUUACCCGCCCCUUCCCAUCACCCCUCCCCACCCCAACUUUUUCUUCAUCUUCUUCAUCACCUCGUACCCCACCACCCGUUUCUCCAUUACUUCAAUUCCCUUACUUUAUCUCCAUUACUUCAAUGUUUCUCAACUCCGUAUCACCAUUUUUGAUUUUUAUAUUUGUUAAAAAAAAUGAAAAAUUGCAGCUAUAUUAAUUUUCAUUAACCGAAAAUUCGAUUGGUAUUUUUCUAUAUCGAAUAAGGUCAUCGCCAAUUGCUUAUUAAUUUUUCUCAAUUAUCACGUCUUGUGCUUAUUGGAAAUUCAUCAAAUUUGAUGAAGAAUUCAAUUGAAGAAUUCUGAUGAAGAAUUCGAUGUCGUAUAAUUAAAGAAUUCAAUCUCACUAAAUACGAUGAAUUCAAUUUUGUCAUCUUAAGUUGGAGAAUUCUGUUGUUGAAAUGAAGUUGAUGCCAUUGUUGAUGUUCAUCGGGGCAUUUUGUUGAAUAGGGGCUGGGUUGAAUUCGGAUUUUGUUGAGGCAUUUUGUCGAAUAAGUGGUGGUUCUGAACAUUUUGUUCAUAUUUGACUCUAAUGGUGGAUUAUUUCAAGUGUAGGGAUUGAAGAAGAAAUAUGUUUGGGGUUGGGUGAGUGGGUGGGGGCGGUGGAAGAGGAGUAGGAGGGGGGCUGCAUUUGUAUUUAUAUAUAUAUAAAUAAUGCAUGGGGAAUUGAUUUUUUUUUUAGAAAAAUAGUAAUUUCUUACAUGGUAAUGACGUGGCUCUGACUUGACAUUGAAGUGGCGUUGAUGUGGGCGAGUGUAACACACUCUCCAUUGUGAAGGUGAUAUUCAGUUUUGAGGGGUGAAAACAAUAUAUUUUAAAGAUGUUAAGGGGGUAAAUAAACAGAAGUUUAGUUUAAAGGCUAAAGUAAGUUGAUCGGACAAGUUGAAGAUUUUUUUUUUAUGACUUUUCUCUUGGACAUUUAUGUACUAAUUUAUCAGUUAAUACAGAUAGUUGAUAUGUGUAUUCAUCUAUUUAUUACAAUUAUAAUUUUCGUUUUAGUCUUAUUAAAAAAAAUGAGAUUUUCCUAUGUUUAGUAAUAAUUUAAUUGCGAACUACUCAUUUUAUUCUUUAUAAAAUAAUUUAUAGCCAUUUAAGUAUUUAUAUAUUUAGAUCAUAAACUUAAAAUUCUUUAAUUUAAUCUUAAACAUGAUGAUAAAUUAAAUACUUUCACAUAAAUAGAAACUAGGAGAAUAAUCGAAAUACCACUAGUCAAUCCUAUAAAAUAAUAGAAAGCCUCAUCAACAAUUUAAAUCAAAGAUUUUCCUGUCAAAAGGCUUCACGCACUAGAGAUUAAACAAAACUACGAUAAGUAUUAGCAUGCCUACUUAUAUAACUAUAGGCUCAGGGCGGCUCAAGCAUAUAAGUGAUCUAAGACGAAAAUCAAACAAAGGACUUAAAUUUUUAAGAAAAAAUGACUUUGUUUUAAUAAACUUAAUUUUCAAAAUUAUAUAAUCGAUUUUUUCUAAUUAUCUUUUUUAUUUUAAAAUUAUAUAAUCGAUUUUUUUAAUUAUUCCUUUUUAAGUAAUAAUAUAAUCUAUGCAUUUAAUCUUUCUUGAGACAUAAUACUCUAAAUAUAUGAAUUUCUUCUAAUAAUUCUUUCCUUUUAUAAAAAAAUUAUUUUUCUAUAAAUAAUAUUUAUUUAUUUUUUUUAAAAAAUCUAUAAUAUAUUAUCAUAAAAAAUAAGGUACUUCAAAUUUGAAGGCUUAAGACGGCCGUCUAUUUUUUUUUUUAAGAGGUAGAGCCGCUCCUGUUAAUAGGCUAUAUAUAAUUCAUAUAAUGUCUAAGAUGUCAGAUAUCCUCACAAAUCAUAACCAUAUUUUAAGAAAAACUAUUUUCCUCUUCAGCAUGAAAGUUAUUGUUGAUGACUGACUCGACAAAUCUUAGUAACUGUAUCAUUAAUUAGGAAUAAAAUUGAUUGGCAAGUACAAUAGAAUUUUUUAUUUCCAAAUAUUUGAACUAAUUUAAACUCACUAUUUUCAACAACUCUUCACUAAGCAUUGGAACCUCGACUAAUGCAGAUCGUGCGUUGUAGGACUCAUUAAGGUGACAACGCUCCCAACAGAGUUUUCUUCAUAUCUAGGAUCGAACCCUCGACCUCUGGUUAAGGAUGGAACACCCCCAUCCACUGCAACACAACCCAUGUUGGUAUUGAGCUAUUCAGUGGUCAAUAAUUAACUCUUCAACUUACGUUCAAGGAUUGGAAGUGAAUUAAAACUUCCACAUUUCACCUACUUUAUUUUCUAUACUUCACUUCAAAUCCAAUUACGACUAUUUUACCUUAAUUUCUGUCUUGCUAUUUUUUUAUGCCAGCAGCUUCAUAAUUCCCAAUCAAAUAGAACUGACGUAUUAAAUACAAUUCACACAAUAUAGAAGGCUCUCUCUCUCUAUAUAUCAAUAUAUAAUUACUGAAUUUUUUAUUUGGAUGAAUGAUUUAUGUUUAAAAUAACUUGAUCUACUUAAGUAGGUUUGAAUUUAUGAUUUCAUUUCAUGAUUUUAAAUCAUGAGAUGAAAUUUCAAAUUCGCUAAGAAACUUGAUUAUAAAAGUUGAUCAACAAAUUUAUAUUUUGUAAAAAAAAACCAUCAUUUAUAUUUAUCAUUUACUUUAUAUGAACAAAAUUUAUAGUGAUUGAUAUUAUUACUCUUAUCAAUUUUUAAAUCAUUUUUAUCAAAUACAAUCAUUAUUCUCACCAACCUUUAACCAAUCAAAUUAAUUAUUACUUCAAAUUGAGAAGAUUGCCUGUAUUCUGUUGGAGAUUAUUUCAAAGAGUACUAGUACGUUAUAAUUCAUGUUCAGUUUUACUUUUUUUAUUGAAUUAAAUUUCGAUCAAUAAAUAUUAUAUUUUCUUAGAAUAGUUUUAUGAUGUUGUAUGAACUUUUACCUAUUUAGUAAGAUUAGUAUAAAAAAUUAGGACAAUUUUAAUAGUUUUCACAACUUAACUAUGAAAUUUUUAUCUUUAUGAAAAAACCUAUAUAACUUAAAAAAUUAUAGUACUAGUAAUACACACCAAACACCACAAUACUUAUAUUUAAAGCUAAAAAAUAUAUUAAAUAAGAUACAAGUAAUACAUAAGAUUAAAACAAAAAAUAGGUAAGGUUAACAAAUGCAUUAUUUUUUUAACACUCUCUCUGAAAUAACCCCUUACUGAUUUAUUUCUAUUUAAGUAUUACAAAUACUGAUUUUUAGAGCAUAGGAAAUGACGGUAUGAUUCCAUUUGUAAAUUUUGGACAUAUUUGUUGCAUGACUAGAAAGAUUAUCAUCAAAAGAUGUAGUGCAGUGAAUGAGACCCUUAAUUAGAGGUCUCAAAUUUGAAUUUUGGGUAUGAAAAUAUUCAUGAUAGGGAGCGCUAUCCCGAUUGAGAUCUUAUCCAAUGCGAAUUUAAAUUAAUCAGACUUCAAUAUAAGUAUCAAAUAUCGGAUGAAAAAAAAAAAAAAAAAGAAAGACCAGAAGGAUUAAUUAGACUGUACGUGCCAGAUGAAGGUGUAGGCUAUUGUUUGUCAUGAUUCAUUUUCAUUUUCAUAUCAAACUACACUUGUACGUUGUAAGUCUGUGUUAUGGAAGAAUUAGGAGGUUGUUUGGAUUGACUUGUUUUAGCGUUUUAAGUUAAAAUUAUUUUUACAUAAUUUUGUACUAUGUAACUAAAAGAAAAAUAUAUUUUUAAGUUGAAAUAAUUAAAAUAAAUUAAAUAUCAUAAGUUAGAAAUUCUAACUUAUGCUUAUAAUAUAUGACAUAAGUUAUAAAGUCAUCCAAAACAGGCUCUACACGUAGGCGUCCAUUUGUAAUUCAUAGCUCCUAACAGGAGUAAAGGUGUGUUUGUUGUGAAGAAAAGUGCUGUUUCCUUGAAAAAUAAGCAUGGUUUUUAUUUAUUUUUUAAUAUUUAAUUAGUACGAAAAAAUAUUAACCCCAAAUCGUAAUUUAUAAUAUAAAAAAAUACUAUAAAGAUGGGUUCGUGGGGAGUGAGGGUUCGGUUGGUGGAAUUGGGAUGAUUAAUGGCUGAGGGUUGAGAACGUCCGGACACUCGGAGGAGACAAUAUACUUUGAAUGUCAUUUAUGUAAUUUAUUUUUCAUAUUUUUAUUAAAGAAUUAUAAAUAACUUAUUUUCUUAAAACCCUCUUGCUCUCUUCUUCAUUUUUUUGGUGUUUGUCAAGAACUCUCAAAUUCAGAAAAUCGAAUCUAGAUUGAGAAAAAGAAAACUAGAAAGCCUUUUUCAGAACAAAUGUUUUUUCUAUACCAAAAACACAUCCUAUUCUGACUAGCUAGUACUUUUGUUUAUGAUGGGCACAUAUAUUUCUUUCAUUACUAUUCAUCAUUAUAUAAUAACUCCCACCUCUAUAAUCUCCUUUAAUUUACCUUUAUAUAUAAUCUUAAUGGCUAAUAUUAUGAGUAUCGAGUUAGAUAACUUUUUCAAAAGAACCAAAAUAAUCUUUGUACUCUAAUUCUUUUUUUCUGCAUCUCUUAUUUGUAUUGCUCUUAAAAAUAUAUACUAGUAAUACAGCACUAUAUAUAUAUAUAUAUAUAUAUAUAUAUCGUAGUCAUUCUUAAAAUUCGUGGACGAAGGCAACUCCUAGUUCAUCAUCACAGUUUGUUGCCUAUAUGCACUGAGGAGUUUCCAAAACUCUCAUAUAUAUAUAUAUAUAUAUCUUGUAAAUGUUACUGAUGAGUCUCCAAAACUCAUAUCUAUAUCUCCUGUGAAUGUCAGACUUAUCCCGAAUGUUUCUGUUGCGUAGCAUAGGAUUUCACAGAAAAAAACGAGAGUACAGGAGGAUAGGAUUUCACAGAAAAAGAUAACGGAGUAUAGGAAUAUAGGAUUUCACACAAAAAGACAAAAGGCGGAGUAUAGGAAUAUAGAAUUUCAUAGAAAAAGACGGUGGAGUAUAGAAUUUCACAGAAAAAGGCGAUUACGCUAAUUCAGAUCUUUUAUUUUUAUGUUGAUCUUUCGGAACUUGUGCUAUAGAUCUUUCGGAACUUGUACUCACUAUAGCGAUAAAGGUUUUAGCGAUAUCGAAAUAUGCACAUUAAUAAAAAGUGUUAAAUUUUUUAUCGAUGUUAGUUAAUUGUUAUUGGCUUCAAUAUCGCUAUAGAUUUUAGGUGCAUUUAUAAAGAAUGCUAAAAUAUAAUUGUCACUAAUAAUUAUUUCUAAAAAUAUAAUUUAGCAUCACUUAAGUUAUCGUAUUUUUAACUAAUUGCCGCUAAAUACUCCUUUCAUUCCUAAUUAUUUGUAGUUCUUAUUAAAUAUAGAUGCUUCUUAAUACUUGUCAUUCUACAAAAUCAAUGUAUAAUUAGUUGUUUGUUUUUAUUUUUAUCCUUAAUAGUAAUAAAUAUAAAAAGAUAUUAAUUUAAUACAUUAAAUAAAGUUGAAUGAUAAAUAAAAAUAAUUUAAUUAAAUUAUUUUUUAAUUAAUAUUUUUUAAGAGACGUGAAACUUAAAAAGAGACAAGUAAAUGAUAAGUAAAAUGAAAACGGAAAGGAGACCAUGUGUCUUCGUGAAACUAAGUGCAUGCCUAUUAGAUGCUUUAAAUUCACUAAUAUCUACACUACUAAAGUUCAUUUCAAGUUUCAUUCAAUUAAUUUUGUCCUAUUUACACUAAUCACCGAAGUCACUCUGUGAUUUCAUUUCACUUGUUAAUUUACUCUCAUCCAUUGUUAGCUUUCUCCCAUCAGUUUGUUUUCGAUUAGUGAUUCAUAUAUCUCUCGUAAAUGGCAGAUUUAUUCCAUAUGUCUAUGUUAUAAAGUAUAGAAUUUUAUCGAAAAAGAUAGCAAAGUAUAAAAUUACACAAAACAAGCAUCUACGCUGAUUCAAAACUUUUAUUUUUAAUGUUCAUAUAUCUCUUGUGAAUAUCAGAUUCAUCCCGAAUGUUUCUGUUGAUUUCACAAGAAAAGACAGUGGAGCAUAGGAUUUCACAGAAAAAGGCAGCUACGCUGAUUUAGAUCUUUUAUUUUUAUUUUCAGAUUCAUCCCAAAUGUCUCUGUUCAGAUUUAUCCGAAUGUCUCUGUUGCGGAGGAUAGAAUUCUCACAUAAUGUCAGACUCAUUCCAGAGGAUAGAAUUCUCACACGUAAUGUCAGACUCAUUACGGAGGAUAGAAUUCUCACAUGUAAUGUCAGACUCAUUCCGAUUGUUAGACUCAUUCCGAAUAUCUCUGUGUGGCGGAGGAUAGAAUUUUCAUAAAUAAAAAGCGGCGGGUGGAGGAUAGAAUUUUCACAUAUAAAAGGCGGGUGACGUACUGCAUCUGUUUUGAUGGGAGUAUAAAAUACAAAAAAUAUACAUACAUUUUUAGAUUUUUUUUAUACAGUAUUCGAUAUUCGUAUUAGAAUAUGCACCUAUAUUAAAAUUUAGAUUCAUUCAAAUCACACAUUAUAGAAUUCAUUCUGGAGCUACGCUCUCAAUAAAAAAAUAAAGAUGGAAUAAUCUCAUUCAUGAGUAUCUCAACAAAUUUAUGGCCUAAAGUCAAACACCUUAAAUACAUAGACACAAAUACAAACAAAAAAUAAAAAUAGUAUUAAUAUAAUCUAAAGUUAUCCCAUUUUUCUUGUAUGUUAAUUAUUUUUUGAUGUAGUAUUUUUAAAGGAGGCAUAGCUUUUAAUUUUAAGAUACUACCCUCAUCAUAGGCCUAUCAUAUAAGAUACCGUGACCUCAUACGCAUUACUCAACCAAAGAAAUGCUAAAAAGACAAGUGCUACCAUUUCUCCUUCCAUUGUAAAUUCUGCCAUCAAAAUCAAGAGUUAAUUUCUGACACAACAUUUUGAGCAGACAUUACAUUUUCGAGUCUAUUAUUACUGGCGGAGUUAGAAAUUUAAAUAACAGAAUUCAAAAAUAAUACUUAUAAUAAUCUCAGAGAAUUCAACAAUUUAUAUAACAUAUUUGCCUAAGUAGAACAUAUACCGUCUAGUUGACGCAACGAAUAUUUACAUAAUCAAGUAAUGUAACAACAACAUAAUGUAACAAGAUUUCUCUACAAACUAUGGAAUAUCUCUGUUGCGGAGAAUAGGAUUUUCACAAGUAAAAGGUUGCGUACGUAAAGCUGCAUCUAUUAUAUAUCUGUUGUGCAAUAGACGGAGAUUCAGAUCUUUCAUUUUUAACGUGAGACUCAUCCCUAAUAUCUCUAUUGCAGUUUUUAAUGUCAAAUUCAUCCUGAAUAUCUCUGUUCUUUGUUGCAGAGGAUAAGAUUUUGUUCUCUAUUGAAAUUUUCUUUUUAAUGUCAUGUUCAUCCUGAAUGUUUGUCAGAUUCAUCUUGAAUGUGUCUAUUCUCCGUUGUAGAGGAUAGGAUUUUGUUCUCUGUUACAGAGGAUAAGAUUUCCACAAGUAAAAAUCGGCGUACGUAAAGCGUAAGCACAUCUAUUUUGAUUGUUGCGUAGAAUAUCUGUUUUGAUUGUUGCGUAGGAUAUGAUUUUCACACGUAAAAGAUGGCGUACGUAAAACGUAAGCUACAUCUAUUUUGAUUACAAUUGGUGUAUAAAAUACAAAAAAAAUAUACAUACAUUUUUUGAUUCUUUCUGUUUUUUUUUUUAUGUGGUGUUCGAUAUUCGUAUUAGAAUCUCUAUCUAUAUCAAAGUGUAGAUUAAUUCGAAUCACACAUUAUAAAAUUCAUUAUGGAGUUUACGCUCCCAAUUAAAAAAAAUCAUACUCAAAAUUCUUGAUAUUUCCUAUGCCCCAGAUGUGUCGAAAUUACUGUUUCAUUUUUAAUAGCAACAGAAAAAUUCCACCAAGGACAUUCAUCAGUAGAUUCAUCAUAGGCCAUCAUACAAGAUAUCGUGGCCUCAUACGCAUUACUCAAGCAAAGAAAUGCAUGCUUCAAAGACAAGUGCUGCCAUUUCUCCUUCCAUUGUAAAUUCUGACAUCAAAAUCAUUUAUGACACAAGAUUUUUUUGAGUCUAUUACCGAUGGCGGAGUCGGAAAUUCAAAUAGCGGAAUCCAAAAUAAGUACUAAUAAUAAUCUCAUGCUAAGGAUUCAACAACUUAUAUAUAUAUAUAUAUGCAAAUAAAAAACAUGUUUGCCUAAGUAGAACAUAUAUAUACCGUCUAGUUGACUCAACGAAUAUUUACAGAAUCAAGUAGCAAUAACAUGACUAUGGAAUGUCUUUGUUGCGGACGAUAAGAUUUUCACAGGUAAAAGGCGGCGUAUGUAAAGCGUAACCUACUUCUAUUUUGAUCAAUUUGUUGCCUAUAUCCUGUAUCCACUGAUAAGUCUCCAAAACUCAUAUAUAUCUCUUGUGAAUGUCAUUCUCAUCCCGAAUGUAUCUGUUGCUGCAGAGUAUAGGAUUUCACAGAAAAAGACGGCGGAGUAUAGGAGUAUUGGAUUUCACAGAAAAAGAUAAAAGCGGUGGAGUAUAAGAGUAUAGGAUUUAGUAUAGGAUUUCAGAGAAAAAGGCAGUUACGCUGAUUCAGGUCUUUUGUUUUUAUGUUGAUCUUUUGGAACUUGUACUCACUAUAGGAUAAAGGUUUUAGCGAUAUCGAAAUAUGCACGUUAAUAAAAAGUGUUAAAAUUUUUAUCGAUGUUAGUUAAUUGUAAUUGGUUUCAAUAUCGCUAUAUGGUGACCAGAUCAAAACCCUUCCUCUAUAUGGUGAUCAAUUAAAGCUUCAGCUUAUUCUGUCAGAUUUCUCGCUUACUGUAGUUCAUCAUGCACCUUCUCUGGAUGGUUGAGUGGAAAUCAAGGUGCUACCUGGUUUAAGACUUACACAAGAUGGAAAGGAAUUAAUUCAUCUGCAGUUCAGGUAACUGGAGUGCUAUUUGUCUAUUGCUGGUUUUUCACAUAAGAACAUGAGCCUACUCAUUUUAUCUGGUGUCUGUCCUUUCCUGCAACGUAUAGCACCUAACUAGUUAAAGUACUUCACGGGGUUUAAUCUAAUCAGCAGAAAUAUAACGGUGCUUUAAUCACUUGUCUGAUUUAGUUUUCUGUUAUCAACACUCACUUUUAAUCUUUUAAAUCAGUUUUCUUUUGUAACUAAAACUUCUUGUGUAACCUUAGAAAAACGAUAUGUAUGUAUUGUCAUGACUUCUAUUGAUAAAUGUCCAUGUAAAAUUAAACAAACUUUAUUUUAUAGAAUGGCUCACCCUGGCCAAGGAGUACCUGCUGCUCUAAUUGAUGUCAUGUCAGGAGAAAGAAAUCGAUGGACAACAGAAGAAGGAAUCGCGUUGAAUAUUUCCCAGAAGCUUCUCAAUAUUAUGAAUGGAAGGCAUUUAAACUUAGAACUGGCCGAAAGAGAUGCAGAAAACAUUUUUCAUCUUGACCCAAAUUGUAGUGCUGCUUAUGUUUUAUUAUCCAACAUUUCUGCCUUUUCUGGUAGAUGGAGUGAUGUUGCAAGAGUUAAGAGGAAAUAUGAAAAGAAGAGGAAACGUAAAACAACCAGGAUGCCGCUGGGUUAAUCAGAAGGGAAUCCGGCACACAUUUAUUUCUGGUGAUACUUCACAUCCUCUAAGUGAUAGGAUAUAUGAAAAGCUGGAAUGGUUGACGGAAAAGUUGAAGGAAUAUGGUUAUGUCCCUGAUCAAAGAUAUGACGUAGACGAUGAACAGAAGGAAGUUGUGCUGUCAUAUCAUAGUGAGAGACUUGCUAUUUGCUUUGCAUUAAUUACAACACAUGGUAGUGCUAUAACAGUGAUGAAGAACCUCCGUGUCUGCGGUGACUGCCAUUCUGCCAUCAAGCUCAUAGCAAAAAUGAUUGAUCGUAAAAUUAUUGUAAGAGAUUCAAGCCGCUUUCAUCACUUCAGAUUAUUGGUAGGAUUAUCCUUUUGACUAUCAUUGUGGGAAUGGAUAGUGGAGCCUUGUGAUUAGUUCACCAGAAGCAGGAACACAUUCAAAUUUUAGGGAAUGCCAGAGUUCAGAUUGGACCAACAAUCUGUGAAAUGUUUUUCACUGAUAAAGUGGGGGUCCUCUUGAUAAUGUUACCAAUGAAGAAAUCAGAGCAUUGGCAUCCGCUGCUUCAAAUGUGUCUAGAAGCUGAUCUUGAAGCCAUGUCUAAAAUGUUUCCGAUACUGUACUAUGAUUAACCAAAUAUAGCUGAAGUCAAGGCAACCGCUGCACAUUAAUAAAUCUAGAGGUAUAAUUAGUUAUCAUUCCACAAAAUAUUCUGGUUACUUGAGAUUUAGUGUUGUAGAUAGUAGACUUUGUUCCUUGAGAUUUAGUGCGUUGGGUUCAUAGUAUAUGAAAGAAGUGUGAAUGAAAAAAUGGAGAGUAAAAUAGUGGAUGGAAAGAGACACUAAAAUGAAAAGUGUACUUCCAAAUUAGAAAGAUUACUCUUUCUCCCACAAUGGUGGAAGAAGAGAACUUGGAAGUGUUUAUAAUCAAGAACACUUACUCCACAAGGUAAGUGAGGCAAGAAAUAAGAGAUGCCUCGCGUUGUCGUUGUCGCUUGCUCGGCUUUGGAUUUGGAUAAUGAUUGAUGAAGGAAAAAUUUUCUGAUACUCCAUUUAUAUAAUAUGCAUGCAGUAACAGUUGCAAUGUUUCAAACAAACCCUGAUGCUUCAGUUGCACUGUUUCAAGUGAACUGAUGCAUGCUUCAGAAGGAUGCAAUUCUUCAACGAAUUGCAAGUAACACACUGUUUCAUGAAAUUAGAUGAUGUUCAGGAAAAGAUGCACACUUUGAUGAACAGAUAUGAAUUUUCAGAAAGAGGUGCAACCUUUAAAGUGAACCAUGGCCUCUUUUCAGAAGAGGCAUGUUAUGGCUAUAUAAACCUGCUUUCAUUCACAGGUUUAGAGACGAAAUUUUUUUUCAGAAUAGGAACACUCUUCUUGAUUUAAAAAAUAUUCUGUGUGAUCACUCAAAACGUUCAAUGAGUUCGAAGAUAUUCCAAUUGUUUGAGGUACCGCUACAGUUGGUUUGUUUGACCAUUUUAUUCUGGGAAGAAAACUUUCACAACCUCGGGUAUAGUGAGGGGAAUUAUUUCUUUAAGGAAACUUCGUGAAUUCGGACGACUUGGCCAGUUCUGCUUUAUCUUUAUUUCUGAAAAUAAAAUGCACCUCUUAUAAAGAUCACUUUGAUCUUGGGUUGGGGGUAUUUUUUGUACUUCAUUGUGUUCUUGUUCUUAAACUUGAACUACUUGAAGUGGUUGUUUCUAGUAUACAGAUUCUUGUACCCGUAGAAGGAAGAAUAACAUAGUGUUGGUGAUCGUGUUUUCAUUUGAGUUUUCCCAUGAAAGGUAUGCUGAGAUUUGGGAAGAGGGAAAACUUAGUCCUAGUUAUAUUGGACCAUUUGAUUUCUUCGAACUAUUGGUGAUGUGGCUUAUAAGUUGGAUGUGCCCCCAGCUUUAUCAGCUGUUUAUCCAGCUUUUCUUGUUUCCAUGCCUCAUCGUUACAUUCUGAAUGAGUCUCAUGUCAUUUUUUGGAAUUCAGUUCAGUUAGAUGAGAUGUUGUGUUUUAUUGAGGAGCCUAUCUUCGUCUUGGCUAAAGAUGUCAGGCGGUUGCUUUCUAGAGUUAUUUUAGUGGUUAAGGUCUAGUUGAAACAUCGAUCUGCAAAUGAGGCUACUUGGGAGGUCAAGUUUAUCUAUCCCUAGCUUUUUGAUGAUUCUGGUAUUUUUCAUUGCCUUUAGUUCAAGGAUGAACUAGAUUUUUAGUGGUGGAUGAUGUAACGACCUGAAUUUCGAUGAUUUAUGUGAAAUAUUUAUUUUUGUGUGAUUUGACCAUUUUACCCCUCUCUAUGGUUGCGUUGUGGUAUUUCUGGGAUGUGGGGAUGCUUGACACAAUUCCCAAUGCAUUUCAGUGUUACAUAAAUGAAAUUAUGGACUUUGGUGGCUUGAAAAGUCUUAUAGUUGACGUCGGUCAAUAUUUAUUGAUCUUUGCGUCGGAUGGCAAAACGGACUGCUCCAGUAAAUUUGAAACGUCAAGUUUAGGUUUUUAGCGUGGUUGGUUUGGUUUAAUGGCUUUUUUUAUAUCAUUUCGAUCGUCGGUUCAGAAAGUUGUGAAAUUGAAUUUCGGGGGUUAACUUUGUGAAAACGAUGUUCUUUUAAAAAUUUGAUAUCGCCAUUGAGUCCGGAGUAUCGAAUUUGAUAUGAUAGCAUAGAUUAUUUGAGUUCAUGAGGUUUUGAAUGAAUCUUAAGGGAUCCGCGGAAAUUUGGGACUUUCCAAGUAUCCAGCUGGUGCUGGUGCAACUGCACCCGCGAGUGGCUAGUUUGCCUUGACUUCAGCUAUAUUUGGUUAAUGUGCAGCGGUUGCCUAGACUUCAGCUAUAUUUGAUUAAUCAUAGUACAGUAUCAGAAACAUUUUAGACAUGGCUUCAAGACAACACUUAAUACCUGUCAUUCCACAAAAUUAAUGUAUAAUUAGUUGUUAGUUUUUACUUUUUACUCUUAGUAGUAAUAAAUAUGAAAAGAUAUUAAUAUAAUGCAUUAAAUAAAGUUGAAUGAUAAAUAAAAAUAAUUUAAUUAAAUUAUCUUUCGAUUAAUAUUUUUUAAGAGACGUAAAACUUAAAAAAAUGACAAGUAAAUGAAAACCGAAAGGAAACCAUGUGUCUUCGUGAAACUAAGUGCAUGCCUGUUAGAUGCUUUAAAUUCACUAAUAUCUACACUAAAGUUCCUUUCAAGUUUCAUUCAAUUAAUUUUGUCCUAUUUACCCUAAUCACCGAAGUCACUAUAUAAUUUCAUUUCACCUGUUAAAUUACUCUCAUCCAUUGCUAGCUUUCUCCUAUCAGGUUGUUUUCGAUUGGUGAUUCAUAUAUCUCUUGUGUUAAUUUACUCUUCCAUGGCUAGCUUUUCUCCUAUCAGGUUGUUUUCAAUUAUACUUGUGAAUGUCAGACUUAUUUCAUAUGUUUCUAUCGGUGAAAUAUAGAAUUUUACAGAAAAAGGCGACAGAGUACAGAAAUACGCAGAAUAAGAGUAUACUUUAUCUUUUAGUUUUUAAUGUUCAUAUAUAUCUCUUGUGAAUGUCAAAUCCAUUCAGAAUGUUUUCUAUUGUAGAGUAUAUAGAUACAGAUCUUUUUGUUUUUAAUGUUCAUAUAUAUCUCUUUUAAUGUCAUACCUAUCCCGAAUAUUUUCUGUUGCAGAGUAUAUAGAUUCAGAUCUUUUUGUUCCUAAUGUUCAUAUAUAUGUCAGAUUAAUUUCGAAUGUUUUUUGUUGCAGAGUAUAUAGAUCCAGAUCUUUUUAUUUUUAAUGUUCAUAUAUAUCAUACCCAUCCUGAAUGUUUUCUGUUGCAGAGUAUACUGUUGCAGAAUAUAUAGAUCCAGAUCAUUUUGUUCCUAAUGUUCAUAUAUAUGUCAGAUCCAUCCGAAUAUUUUCUGUUCAAGAGUAUAUAGAUUAGAUUUUUUUGUUUUUAAUGUUGAUAUGAUAAGGAAAAGGCGGUGGAAUAUAGGAUUUCACAUAAAGGCGGUGGAGUAUAGAAUUUCACAAAAAGACAGUGGAGUUUAGGAUUUCACAGAAAGGCAAUGGAAUAUAGGCGGUGGAAUAUAGGAUUUCACAGAAAAAACAGCUACACUAAUUCAGAUAUUUUGUUUUUAAAUUGAUUCAGAUCUUUUGUUUUUAAUGUGAAAAACAGAUACACUGAUUUAGAUAUUUUGUUUUUAAUGUUGAGGAUUUCACAGAUAAGAGGCGGCGUACAUAAAAUAAACACUGAUUCGGAUCUUUUAUUUUUUUUUAGAUUCAUCCAAAUAUCUCUGUUGGUGAGGAUAUGAUUCUCAGAUUCAUUUCAUUGUUGGACUCAUCCGAAUGUGAUAGAAUUUUCAGAUAAAAGGUGGCAGCGUACUAUGUCUGCUUUGAUGAGUAUAAAAUACAAAAAAAAAAUAUAUCUACAUUUUUUUUUUAUACGGUGUUUGAUAUUCGUAUUAGAAUAUCUAUUAAUAAAAGUAAAAAUUAACUCUAGUUAAUUAAAUGUUAGCAUUUGUCUAGUAUAUAUUAACUUGGAUAUUGUUGUUAAAAUAUUAUUUAUUAAUAUGAAGCUUGAGUUGCUUAAUUCAAAACUCUAAAAUAUUUUGAUAAAAAUUAAAGAGAAAAUAUCCUAUUUCACCCUUGAACUAUACCCAAAAUGGCUGAGACACACCUCAACUUAACUAGGGUCCUAUUACCCCUGAACUAAUUAAAAGUGUAAUUUUGACAUCCUUAGUGCCUACGUGGCACAUACGUGUACACACGUAUGCCUACAUGGACCCUUCAGUGUGUUGUGCCACGUAUGUGCCAUGUCGGCACUAAGGGUAUCAAAAUUACAUUUUUAAUUAGUUCAGGUAAUAGGACUCCUUUAAGUUGAGGUGUGUCUCAGCCGUUUUGGUUAUAGUUCAAGAGUGAAAUAGAACAUUUUCUCAAAAUUAAAUAGCUUUUUCCUUUUUUUUUUAGAUUAUUUUUUACAAUCUUCAUUCUUCAUUUUUACUUCAAGUGAAGUUGAAAUCAUAAAAUUUACUAUUAAAAUUUUUGGGGGCCAAAAGCAAACGCUUUAGUCAUACCCUUAGCCGCCUUUGAUCCCACAAUUAAUGACAAAAUCAGAAUUUUCAUUAAGGAGGUUCAAAAAUAAAUAUCCAACCUAACUAAAGCAUAUGCUCAACAUCUAUUAUAUAUGCAUAAAAAUUAAUUUUAAUCAUCUAUAGAUAAUAUAAUUUUUAUCGAAAAAAUCAAAUAAACCCCUAACCCAAGCGUGGCUCCCACCCUGUCAUCACUAUACUACAACUCAUAUUGAUACUUUCUUUGGUAUAUAUUUCUAUAUAUUAGAAGAGGGUUUCGACAUGUAUGUUUCAGCAGACUGCUUGCUCCGUGAUUUUACUAUAUCACUCCUAAUAAUAAUUAAUAAAAAAAAUAAAAUAAAUAUAAAAUAAUAAAUUAACUCUUGAUUUUUUAAAUUAAUUUGACGUCUUAUAUGAGGCUCACUUAAAUUGUUUUCACAAUUAUUUUUAUAGUAAUUUUGAUAUAUCACUUCUAAUUAAUUGUUGCACGUCAUUUAAGACAUGUUUGCUUUGCUGCUUCAAUCGUGAUUUUACUAUAUCAUUUUUAAUUAAUUAUUAUGACCAUCUAAAUAUUGUGCCACUUAAAUUGACAUUUGUGAUUUAUUACCUCACUUAUAAAGGAUAAUAAGCAGAUAGAAGAUGAACGUGUUUGUUUGUGCUGUCAGCUUAUAUAUUUCUUUUUAUAUUUGUUUAUUUUACUUUUUUUAAAUCUGUUUUAUAUUUGAAAAUUACGUAAAAGUAUUAUAAAUCACAAUAAUUAACAAUUUGAAAUAAUUAAAAAGACGUAAAAAAAAAAAUUGACUUUCUAAAUUUUAUUACUGCCACAUAAAUUGGAAUAGAAGAAAAAAUACUAUAAAUCACAAUAAUUAAUAAUUUAAAAUAUUUUAAAAAUUAGUUAACUAUCAAAAUUGUAUCAAUACCACACAAAGUUAAAUAGAGAGUGUAAUAUAUAUUAUUUAAAAAUUACGUAAAAAUUAUUAAAAUUCACAAUAAUUAAUCUAAAAAUAUUCUUCACAUUGGGUUCAUGCUAACACGGGUCAUAUCACCCCUAGUAUAUAUAGAGAGAGGUACCGUAGAUAUUUCUUACAUAUCUAAGGUAAUUAUGAACAUUAUAUUAAAUUCAUUUAAAUUAUACUUGAAAUCAAAAGCGUGUUUAGACUUUACGGGCCGAAGUCAUUUGAUUAGAAAAAAAUUAUUUUAAAACUAAUGAUUGUAUGUAAGAUAACUCAUUAUUUCAUGAUUAUAAUAUAAAUAGUAGGAUAAAUAAUCUCAUUAUUAACUAACACUUUCAACCGAAUACAAAAUAAUCCCGCAUAUUUAUACCUUUACCUUCCAAGACUCCGAAGAAUACUAGUUUGUAUGUGAUAUGAAGUCUGCGUAUAUUUUUACUAUACUAAUAACUAAUAUAUAUCGUCAACUUUCUUAUUGUAAUGGCGUUUUUUAUUCAUCUUACAUGCAGCGAUCGAUCGAGUCCAGUAACGGAUUCAGAAUUUAAGGAUUGUGAGUGAUUAAAAAAUUGAAAAAAAUUAAAAAAAUGACCUCAAUGAGGUUCAAACCCAAGUCACCCAUUUCAAUGAAUCACCUUAAGAUUAAUCUAAAUGUCAGUGCACAUUAAUCAACUUUUUUAUUUGAGUAGGUAUUUUUAUAUAAUUUAUAAAAUUAUUUUUAUAUAUUUUCUAUGUAAUUAUAGUUAUUCCGCAUGGAAUUGGAGGUGAAGUGAAUGUAAUGUCUUUUCCCAUAUUUACCAAAUGAUGAUUUGAUGUCCCCUUCUCCACCAUUUGUUUUUAAGGAAUCUUUUUUCAUGCACCAAAGUCCAAGCAUAUUAAAAGGCCCUACGUUCUCCUCACAAGUCACUCUUCUUUCCCUGCUUCUAUGGGGCACAUGCUAUGCUAUCUCCACUUUAAUACCCCUUGUGGUUCAUAAAAAUACAUCUAAAAAAACUCACCCAUUUACUAUUUUAGCUACUACGUGUAGUUAUUCUCACUUUCUAAUCCUGAUGUCUUUUACUUGAUUGUAUUCAUUUUUAUUUGUCAUUUUUUCUCAAUUUUUACGAAAAGAUAAGCAGAGUGAUUAGAAAGUAUAGUAAUAGGAUGAAAGCUAUUCAUGAUCACUGUGCAAAUAAGAAUGACAUUAUAAUUCAUGAAUUUAUUCUUUAACUUGAUCGUAAUCAAUAUGUAUGUCCUAUAAUUUAGAGCGUAUAUAAACACUUUAAGUCAUUAUAAAUUUGAAUAACAGCAUGCGCGUCUCAAAUGAAUUAUCAUACAAGAUAUGUGUGUAUUUGAUCAACUUUAUACUGUAUAAGUUUACAGGCAUCUUUGAUGCUAAUUAAGACGGUGAUUAGAAAGCAAUUAAGGCAGUGAUUAAGGAAAAAGAUAAGCAACAGUGCGUACUAGAAAAAAGGGAGAGAGAGGGAGGAAUCAGAAGAAUCAAGUAGAGUCAUGCUAGAAUUCGAGUUGCUCUAUGUACUGAAACUAUCUCUAAGAAGAAUAAACCAUUUUCAAGAACCCAAAAAAUGGAGUUGCAGAACAGUAAAACAAGAAAAGGAACAACACCCACAGGCCAGAAUAACAAAAACAACAAAGACACUUACGAAGAUUCCACCUUUUCUGCUUCCUCUGCUGCUAGUCACAUGAAACAUAAAGCCAACAAGGCUACCAUGGCUCAGUACAAUGCUGAUGCAAAGCUUAUGGCUGAAUUUGAAAAGUCUACUGUGUCUGGUGAGUCAUUUGACUAUUCAAAAUCAGUGCCUUAUGCACCAGAAGAUGCUAAUGAAGAAGAAAUCAUUGCUUAUCUUUCGAGAAUUCAAAGGGGUGGUCUCGUCCAGCCAUUUGGUUGUAUGGUUGCUAUCGAGGAACCCAGUUUCAAGAUUAUUGGUUAUAGUGAGAACUGCUUUGAUAUGUUGGGUUUAAAGAUUGUUGAGCCUGCUAAGUUGAAAGGUUUAAUUGGGGUUGAUGCUAGAACCCUUUUUACCCCUUCUUCUGGGGAUUCAUUGGCCAAAGUUAUGGCAUCUAGGGAACUUUCUUUGUUGAACCCUAUAUGGGUUCAUUCUAGGAGUAACCAUAAACCCUUUUAUGCUAUACUUCAUAGGAUUGAUGUGGGAAUUGUGAUUGAUUUAGAACCUGCUAAUUCUAGUGAUCCUGCAUUGCUGCUAGCUGGGGCAGUCCAGUCACAAAAACUGGCUGUCCGGUCGAUAACUAGGUUGCAGUCACUUCCUGGUGGAGAUGUAGGGAUUCUCUGUGAUACCGCGGUGGAAGAUGUGCAGAAGCUGACUGGAUAUGAUAGGGUAAUGGUCUAUAAGUUUCAUGAUGAUAAUCAUGGCGAAAUAGUGUCUGAGAUUAGGAGAUCAGACUUGGAACCUUAUUUGGGUUUGCAUUAUCCUGCAGCAGAUAUACCACAAGCUGCUCGAUUCUUGUUCAAACAAAAUAGAGUUAGAAUGAUAUGUGAUUGCAAUGCACAGCCUGUUAAGAUUGUUCAGAGCGAAGAACUAAAGCAGCCGAUUUGCUUAGUAAAUUCAACUCUUAGAUCGCCUCAUGAAUGCCAUAGCAAGUAUAUGGGCAACAUGGGAUCUAUUGCGUCGUUAGUGAUGGCAGUUCUUAUUAAUACCGGUGAUUCAAUGAAGCUUUGGGGUUUGCUUGUUUGUCAUCACACUUCUCCCCGCUAUGUGCCUUUUCCACUUCGAUAUGCAUGUGAAUUCUUCACGCAGGCAUUUAGCCUGCAGCUUAAUAUGGAGCUCCAAUUGGCAUCACAAUUGGCAGAGAAGAAAACUCUCCAAAUGCAGACAUUACUAUGUGACAUGCUUCUUCGAGAUGUUCCAUUUGGUAUUGUAACACAAUCCCCUACUAUUAAGGAUCUUGUUAAGUGUGAUGGAGCUGCACUUUAUUGUGGUGGAAAAUGUUGGUUGCUUGGGGUGACGCCAACUGAAGAACAAGUUAAAGAUAUUGCAAAUUGGUUGCUAGUUGCUCAUAAGGAUUCCACAGGUUUAAGUACGGACUGUCUUGUAGAAGCUGGUUAUCCUGGUGCGGCUUUUCUGGGAGAUGCAGUUUGUGGCAUGGCUACUGCGAGAGUUGCUUCCAACGAUUUUCUAUUCUGGUUCAGGUCUCACACAGCAAAGGAAGUCAAGUGGGGAGGUGCUAAGCAUCAUCCAGAUGAUGAAGAUGAUGGAGGAAAAAUGCACCCGCGAUCUUCAUUUAAUGCCUUCCUUGAAGUUGUUAAAAGCAGAAGUUUGCCAUGGGAGGUCCCGGAGAUUAAUGCCAUUCAUUCUCUACAAAUCAUAAUGAGAGAAUCAAUUCAAGAGAUUGAGAACAGCUCGCUAAAAACUACUACCUCUUCUCAGCAGAAUGGUGCUGAUGGGCCAAGCAUGGAUGAACUUAGUUCUGUGGCAAUGGAAAUGGUUAGGUUGAUUGAGACAGCCACUGCUCCAAUUUUUGGAGUUGAUCCAUCUGGCUUAAUAAAUGGAUGGAAUGAGAAGAUUGCUGACUUGACAGGAUUGCAUGCUAGUGAAGCUGUUGGAAGGUCUCUCCUUAAUGAUAUUGUUCAUGAAGAUUCACAUGCAACUGUUGAAAAAUUUCUACAUAGAGCUCUGUUAGGUACUACUUUUUUAGCCUUAAUAGCUAUCAUUAUAAUUUGGAAACAUGCUUAACAUUACAUGGCUAUCAUUCUUGUGUGUGCGUUCAUUGUGUUCUUUUAUAUUCAUUCUUUUUUGCAUUGCAGUCAUACUUGAGCCUACCUUCUUAGAUUUGAAAUUCAUGCCUACUGGUAAGAGAAUUGGCUAUCUACACUAUUGAAUUGGACUGUCAUCUUGUGUGUUACAAUAUAUGCAUUGUUUGGGGCAAUAUUAUGCUUUCAGCAUUGACUAAUCAGUCAUCUCCACUGCAUAGUGAAACUUACUGCCACUAGCAUUCCUCAGCUACCACCCACCCCACCCCACCCCACCCGGUCUUCUCUGUCUUUGUAACUUGUGAUAAUUUAUGAUUCAGGUGAGGAGGACAAAAAUGUGGAAAUAAAACUGCGAAGUUUUGGAAAAGAUCCACCUGAAUCAGUUAUAUACCUUGUGACCAAUACCUGCACAAGCAGGGACCACAAAAAUGAUGUUGUUGGUGUGUGCUUUGUGGCUCAAGAUAUCACCCCCGAGAAAGCUGUCAUGGAUAAAUUCAUUCAGUUGCGAGGAGAUUAUGAGGCUAUUGUACAAAGUCUUAAUCCAUUGAUUCCACCGAUAUUUGCUUCUGAUGAAAAUGCUUGUUGUUCGGAGUGGAAUGCAGCAAUGGAGAGGUUGACUGGUUGGACAAGAUAUGAGGUCAUGGGGAGAACACUUCCUGGUGAAAUUUUUGGUGGUCUUUGUCAUCUUAGGGGACAAGAUGCCCUUACCAAAUUUAUGAUUCUUUUCUACCAAGCAAUUGGUGGCCAUGACACCAAAAAGCUUCCAUUUAGCUUUUUUAAUAGGACAGGGGAGUUGGUGGAAGUGAUCCUAACAGCAAACAAGAGAACUGGUGAGCAUGGAAAUGUAACUGGGUGUUUCUGCUUCUUGCAGCCUACGAUGGUUGACCCAGAGACAUCAGAUGAGAGACAAGACGAUAAAGAACCCCUUUCGAAAUUUAAAGAAUACGCUUAUGUUCGACAGCAGAUGAAAAAUCCAUUGAGUGGGAUCCAGUUUACCCAUAAACUCCUUGAAGCAACCUGUAUUUCAGAUAAUCAGAAACAACUUCUGGAGACAAGUGAAGCCUGUGAGAAACAGAUCCUGUCUGUUAUUGACAACAUGGAUUUCAGAGCUAUAGAGGACGGGUAAUGCUUCUUCUGUAUGAACCCUGAUUAAUAUUACUCUUAUCUCCGUAAUAUGUUUUGUUUAUGCUCCACCUCAACCUAUUUCACUUUAUGAUAGAGAAAUUUCAUAGAUGAUCUGAGAGGAUCAUUUCCCUUCUUCUAAGACCUGAAUGGGGUCGUUCAUCCAGUCGUUACAAAGAAGUGGUUACUACUUUCCUUUCCUCUAUUACAACUCUUCCCUUAUCAUGGCUUACAUUAAUCUGUGUAGAUUCAACUAUAAAGUAAUUCACUUUAUGGUUAAUAGGCUGCAGAAAUUUUAUUUCCUGUUUGUGUGGCCUCCUACUGAUAGUUCUUUGAGCUAUAUUUGGGCACUACAUCCCAGUCCUGAGUAGCUGGUACUCAUUAACUGUUAAUUUCACUAGAAACAGCUUUCCAAAGGAGUGCAAUUAGUUUACAGGAGCGCCAAAGAAAAAAAGAGAGAAGUACCGAAAAGACUGCAAAUCCAUUAAAAGCCUGCCUUCAGAACCAACAUGUGUAACCAACUCACUAGACAACGCAAGCCUCACAGCAGUAUGAAUUGCCCUACAGGUAAUAGUAGGUUUCUUACUGUACCUAGUCUAUCAUCAAGGCUCUGAGCAAGCUUCUCAAAUACAUCAUCGAUGAAACUGUUCAUCAAUGUAAGUUUCAACACUCUUCUUUACCCUCUUCUUGUUGUUGUCAGCACCAGUUGCACCUCUUCCUUUCAUAACUUCUUUCCUGCCUUUGGCUUCUUCUCUGCUGGUGCUUUUUCAGCUUCUUUCUCCUCUGUUGCUGCUGAUCUCUGCUAGCUUUUCUCUGCUUUUGGUGACACUGAAAGUCAAAUUCGGAAUCAGAAAAUGGGUUUUAUUAAAAAGAGACUAGAAGAUUUCUAGCUUGUGAAUUGAUGAGUUUGUGUUGUCCGUAAAGUACCCAGUUCAAAAAAAAAUAAAAAAAAGAGGGAACCACAUCAGCCCAUUCUCUACUUAGGAUAUGGUGCUACUGUCUAAUUACUGCAAUUUUACGUUUAUAGAUAGGUUGGGUAGAAACACUCCGCUAAAAUAAAAUUGAAAAAGAAGUCCCAAAGGUAUCGGAUUAAGAGAACUACUCCAAAUCGAACUGACAAAAUUGAAUGAAAAAUCUAUUAAUAUGCAUGAGUUCUCUUAUAUCAUGUUUGCACAGGCCGUAGUAGAUGCCAUGGGAACUAUUCUAUUAGGAGCACCUGUUUGCUUAGAGUAUGUAAUCCUGUAGUGCUUAUAUCUUUUAUAAUGAUGCUGAAGCCUGAAGCCUUUUUAGUUGAGGUUGGACGCAAAAAUUGAUCUCAUCUAUCCUAAACACAUUGCAUAAUCAUCAGUUGUCUCUUUGUUUCACAAAAAAUGCCAAAAAUUGGCAAUUUAAACGUUCUGAUGAGUCGCUACUCAUUAUAUAUCACACACCUAGAUAUGUUUUCGCUGUAAAAUAUACUGUAAACAAUCUUUCUAUUUGCUAGUGCAACAAUAAGCUACCAUAAUAUAUGCAUGUUGAUACUUGAUUCUUUAUUUCUCUAUGGCUAAAAGGUCUGCUAAAUGCAUAUUACUUUCUCCUGGUUCUAGCAGCAAAGUAGAGCUAAACAUGAAGGAAUUCAUUCUAGGAAAUGUUGUGGAUGCUAUUGUGAGUCAAGUAAUGAUUUUUCUGAAAGAGAAGAACUUACAGCUGCUGCGUGAUAUACCUGACCAGAUCAAAACCCUUCCUCUAUAUGGUGAUCAAAUUAAGCUUCAGCGUGUUCUGUCAGACUUCUUGCUUACUGUAGUUCAUCAUGCACCUUCUCCGGAUGGUUGGGUGGAAAUCAAGGUGUUACCUGGUUUAAGACUUGUACAAGAUGGAAAGGAAUUAAUUCAUAUGCAGUUCAGGUAACUUGAGUGCUAUUUGUCUAUUGCUGUUUUUUCACAUAAGAACAUGAGCUUACUCAUUUUAUCCAGUCUCUGUCCUCUCAGGCAAUGUUAAUCUAAUCAGCAGAAAUAUUACGGUGCUUUAGUCACAUAUCUGAAUUUGUUUUCUGUUAUCAAGACUCACUUUUGAUCUUUCAAAUCAGUUUUCCUUUGUAACUAAAACGUCUUUGUCAUAAUCCGCGAAACCACCUUGUAUGACCUUACAAUAACUAUAUGUAUGGAUUGUCAUGACUUCUAUUGAUAAAUGUUCCUGUAAAAAUUAAACACACACUAUUUUAUAGAAUGGCUCACCCUGGCCAAGGAGUACCUGCUGCUCUAAUUGAUGCCAUGUCUGGAGGAAGAAAUCGAUGGACAACAGAAGAAGGAAUCGCGUUGAAUGUUUCCCAGAAACUUCUCAAUAUUAUGAAUGGAAACGUCCAUUAUGUCAGAGAGGAAAACAAAUGUUAUUUCCUAAUUGACGUGGAACUCAAAACAUCGAAAUCUACACAAGUUCCGAGUUCAGAAGGAACUCAAGAAACAGAAAUCUAGACAACAUGGGCCAUAUUUUGAUGUAGAGUGUGCUAUCUCAAAGUACCUUUAGCCUUCCUCUGCACUUCAGGUUAAAUGUCUCCCUUUUUUUUUUUUCCGGUAUUGUAUAAUGGAGAAUAUAUCUGGUAUUUCUAGAGCCUUGGAGUUGAUUGUGAUUCUCCUACCUUGUACAUGAUUACUGCUACUAUCAGCAGAGCAGCACAGGAUGUAUUUUCAUGUGGUUAGUUAUGCAAGUUGUAUAUUUCUUGUAUCAUAACGCUCUAAAACUAUCUUUCCAGAUAAGAUGCUCCAAAAUUAUGAUGUUUUGCUGGAUAGAAGAGUUCCAUUCAUUCAAGAUUAACUUCUUUAAACCUCUUGCAUGAACUAUGUGUUUAAACAUGGUGCCAAUAAUUUUUUUUAUUUUUCCGGUAACUUAUCCAGAGCUGGAAAUGGAAAAAGAUCCGUCAAGUUUUACUUCUCCCUCCGUCCCAUAUCACGACCUAGUAGAGCUAGUACAAGAGCAUCUAGUAAUAAUAAAACUCAAAUGUCUAAAAAUAGUCCACAACAUGUGUCUCGAAACAAGAGACUGCACAAAAAAGAUAGAAUGAAAUGGGCGACUAGAAUGAAAUGGGCGACUCUAACUCCAAGAGCACUGAUAUGUUUACGUGCGUAUCUCGAUUAAUCUAUCGGAUAGUCAAUCUGCAAGAAUCAUCUACAAGCACAUAAUUGUCGUAUUAUUAUUCUAUACAGGGGUUGAAGGUGAAAAAAAAAAGAGAUGCGUAUUAGUAUUCCAUUACCUGAUGUUCUAUAGUCAAGUGCUAAAUUAUAGGUUUUCCACUAAAGAACAAGUUAAAUGCUUGGUAAAAAGAGCAGUCCAAUGCAUCUCUGAAAAGAGUUGUUUUCACCGCUUCAAUAAUGGCAGCGACUUUACUAGUUACGUCAAGGCUCCCCUUCAGUUUCUCGUGAUAAAAAGUAGAAAUGAACCAAGCAAUUUUGUCAUACGGCUGUUCUAGAAGAUUACGGUAUAGUUUCUAGAAAAGUUUCACAUAAAUACCAAAAGCUUGAUACAAAAUGACAGCCAGUUUUCCUUCCCACUUUACAUUUUUCAAGCAUCCCCCCUCUCUUUACAGUUUUACUCCAAUCCCCCAAAUAAAUGUUACAAAACUACAACCUUGCAUCUGCAUGCUAUUUCAACUUGCCAAAGGAUUACAACAUGAACUACAAAUGCUUUGAUGCCACAUAAGUUAGAACGAACCCGCUUCCUCAUAGAGAUUUCUACCCAAAAACACCUACUCACUAUAGUACAACGAACUUCAUACUUCUAUUUUUGUGCCUCAAAUCAUGCUACUCUACACAAUGUAUAUCGACACUUGUGCUAGCCAGCUGCACUCUCUUCAAGCCGCGAGCAAAAAAAACGUUUCAAUGCCAACGCUAGGUCUUCUCCAAUUUGUCAACUGGAUCCUCCUCAGGCGGGCUACCUUGUGACCCCACCAAGUCUGACUCGUUUGACUGGGAGACUUGAAUAUGUACGCACCCUGAUGACAGAUGUUCUUGAACAAUCUGCAGGAAAGUUUUCAUCUUUAAGUUAUAAUUGUGUUUUGAUGCAAAAGUUGCAGUUUCAUGUUAUCAUCUUAGCAAAAAAAUAUUCAAUCACAGAGCCUGAAAGAACAAAAAAUCAAAGCUCGCUGACAUGACUUAACACAACAUUAACUAAAAGCAGGAAAGCAAACAGAGCAGAUCUUGGGAGCAAGCAGAAUCUUUUUUUUUCUCCGUUUUUGAUGAGUAAUCAAAGAUUUUAUAAACGCUUGCAGUGAGCCAACAUCCACUAUAGCCAACCUCUACCUCCAAACUGAAUGUUGUUGUUUUCAUGCUAUCAGCUUUACUUAAAACCUUUUGAAACUUUGCUAGAAUCAUAAAACGAGACAUAAAAGUAGUAAUAAUGUUAUAUUUCGCAUGUUUAAUUCUCAAGAAGAUGGUCUAUAUUACCUGAUCCCCCAAUUCUGAGCUUUCCGAGUGGAAAAGGAUUGGCCUACAUCGCUUAUCUUCAUUCAUCAAACUUGAAUUCUGGAAGUGGGCUACAAGGGCCGUCUUUCCCUGAAUCCGAGCAUAAGCCAAAGCAGCCACUUUCUCACUAUUGAAUUUCUCCCACUUCUUUCCAUUAAAUGCCUGCACAGAGUGAACAUUCAGCAUAACACUCUUUGCUUCGAAAGUUCAAGACCGCAAAAACAAUAGAACGAAGACACAAUUAAGAAGGCAUAGCAAUCUAUAUAUAUAACCGGGAAGGCAGGAACUAACAAGGAGGGACAUAGCUUCAAGCUCAUAGCCCAAUCACCUUUAGGAAAAGAAAGUAAUAGAAUACGUUUAAAAGAACAAACAAAAACAAACCUCAUAAAAUGGGAUAAUGAGUGAUGGAGACAACAUGUUGAUAAAUGCAUAUCCCACAUUGCAUUUGUUCUGCUCGCAUGCAAGAAUUUCCAUCAGACUUUUGAGAAACAAAAAGAAAACCACAAAAUCCUAACCACCAUAUGAUUACCUUGAAGUCAAUGGGAAGAUAUAGAAAAUCAAAAGUGCCUUUAUGUUGUUCGUCAAUAGCCGCUAAAAGCAUCUUGGAGGUGUACCUGGAUGAAGACAAUGUCAAGUGUUGCAGAUGCUAAAAUAAUCCAUACAUAACAAGGUACAAGGUACAAGAAUUUAGAAGUUGCUAUUACUUGUUAGGAAUAUUUUUAAUCAUCAAAGUUGUCCGAGUAUCUUCACCAGAUCUAAUCCUAUUCAAGUCAAGUUGAAACAGCUUCUUGUUGUCCAUCUGGUUCCCACUAUUAUUGUCAACACGUCGAGUGCGACUGCGUUCAGUCAGCCCCUCAAAGCCAGAAGCUGCAUGUCCUGAGAAAUGACCAUUACCUAGGAAUAAAGGACUAAGUCUUUGGGAAGACAUCAUGCCAAAUCCAAGAGAACCAUUGUCCGACAUAUUCCCUGGAAUAGCAACGCCAGCAUUCGAAGUAGUACGAGCACCAUAAUUAACCAUCAAGCUUCCGUCACGAGGACCUAUACCCAUGCCUCUAAAACCUGUAUUCAAGAUUGAUGAGUCUGGGUAAAAACCGAAGUGCCUAUCAAAGGGAAGACCAGAUGGAGCAGAUCCAACAUGGUGAAGGUGCUGAUGAUGAUGCUGAGAUGAACUGAGGAAAGAUUUUUGAUGAUUUGACAAGGAAAACCUGUCGCCCUGACCACUAAAUGUAAAAGAAUUCGUCGAAGACUGGGUUUUCCAGGAUGAAGAAUUACUCUGUUGAGGAUGCAACUUUGGACUGCCCCAGAGAAACUGUGGUCCUGAUAGUGUUUCAACAGCAGAACCAUUUGUAUUUGAAGCACCAAAAGAGGACAUUGUUCCACCAAACUGGCUUAUAUUAGGGUCGGGGAAAGAAUGAGACUGAGGGAAGGGAGCAGCAUGGUUUGAACCAUUACGGAAAUCUGCAUGACCAUUCAUUGUGCGGUCCUCACCAAUAGGUGCUACCCUCAAGGUAUUUGUAUUUGAUGCACGAGGAUUCAAAAUUGAAGCUAACCCAUGUAAAUUAUUGUCAAUGGUAGGACUCAGGGAUCUAAAGCCUGGUGAAGUGCCAGGACUUUGCGUGGAGCCAUGCUCUACAGGGCUGCCAAAUUGUGGCCAAUUACCUGCCAGAAAUAGAAGUAAUGCCCAUACUAUCAGAUAGCAUAGCUGCAAUUAAAGAAGAUCAAAAUUAAUGAAGUCCAUCCCCUCCCCUUUUCUACCGACCCAAAUGAAAAAAUAAUAAUAAUACAGAACACAGGCACAAACAGAAGGAAAAGCAAGAACCUUAAAUUGUCUCAGCAUAUAUAGAAGUGGAAACCCACAGUGAACUUACCGGGGGAGGAAUUACCAAUUGAGGAACCCAAUGGAUGCCGAAAAGUCCAAGAGUCAUCUUGUUCAGGUUCUUGAUUUGACUGCAAUAUAAU